rnacentral:lncRNA from 1 species
ACACUGUCUCAGAUGCCUGCAUUUGCCUUCAAGAAAACAACAUACCUUACAAUGUGCUCAUUGCUGAUUGUGGAAACCACAUCUUUCUCCUUCCACAGGUAAUGAACAUGGGAGCAACAUAGAGUUGACUUCUUUGCUUGUUGAUAUUUUAACUGCAUAGAUUACACUUGUCUUCAAUUCUUUAAUAUUGUCUAAUGGAUGAACAGUGUUAUGCUGAGAAGCAAGCUCUAGGGGAAGUGAGUUCUGAGCUUCUUGAUACCCAAGUGAACCCUGCUGUGUGGGAAAUCAGCGGCCAUAUGGUGUUGAAGAGGAAGAAAGACUAUGAGGAGGCAUCGGAAGAGAAUGCUUGGAGGCUUCUUGCUGAGGUGUCUCUCUCCGAAGAGAGAUUCCAAGAAGUGAAUGCUCUCAUCUUUAAAGCUAUUUCCAACAGUGGUAAUUGCAGUGGAACUGAUUCUGAGAACGUGCUUGAGGAUGCAAAUGUUGAACAUACGUCUCUUGAAGAAGUGAAUGCCAUUAAUGAAAACUCCCAUUCAGCCAUGGUUACUGGGAGUCCAGGAUGUCUAGUUCUGCAGUGAGUAUUGUGCUUAGGUGAGCAGACCAGUGACAUAUCUGGCUCUCAAAUAAGCUUAUGGCAGUUUUGGCAUACAAGUGGUCUUCACUAGUGUGUUUGUGGAUUAUGGCAUUAGUCUAAAUAAGCAAACUAGGUUUGCAUUUUUAAACUUGGUGUGGAUUGUUGUCUUUAGCAUUUCUGGUUUUGUAUUCAGCCUAUUGACCAUGUAAUGUGGUCUUUGUAUGUACUGCAUGGGAUUUGUGUAAAAUAUUAUGGAAUGUUUACUCUUUGGAACUCGUAUCUUUUCAUGACAAUUUUCUUCUGGGCACUGAAUCCAAAUGAGACGUUAAUAUGAACAUGUAGAAAAAUUGGGUAAAUGAUUUAUGAAUUAUACAUAUUUUUAUGGAUUUUGUACCUAAUUUAUUGUUCCUUGAAUGAUUUUAUCAUUAUGUCCAGUAUCGUUAGUUUGUCUGUCAUGUGAUUGACAUUCAUUUGCUGAACCAUAAAGAAAAUAAUGAAAGGUGUUUUUCGCUUACCUCUCUAAGAUUUUGAAUUAAAAAAAAAAUAUAGAAUCAAAUAACUCACCACUUAAAAAUCCGGAUUGAAUAACCAUUUUAGAGAUAUAAAGUUAAAGAAAAUAAUACUGACAAAGUCAAGGAAAUGAUGCUGAAUUUGAUACAUGUCAAUUUGCCUAGGUUAAAAUAAUUAGAAUUAAAUUCAUUUUUUUUUUAAACUUACAAUAUAUGAUCUGAAUCAUAAUUAUAUAUUUGAAAUGUAUUUUCAAAUCUAGAAAAUAUCAAAAUAAAAUAAAUAAAACUUAAUAAUAGUCUGAAUCAUAAUUAUAUAUUUGAAACAUCAUUUCAAGUCUUAAAAAAUAUUAAAAUAAUAUAAAUAAAACCUAAUAAUUGAAUUUAACAUAAUUAUAGACAAUAAAUAAUAAUAACUCGUUUUUAACUUUAGAAAGUGUAGACAAACACUUAGAUAGCACUAAAAUUAAAAUUGACAUAACUCUUUGUAGAAAAUUCCAAUAGAUGCAUGACUAGCCGACUAACUUGUAAAGAUAACAUUCUGCACUUGAAAACCAUGUAGGAUCCACUUAUUUUCCUAGGCAAUAAAAAGAUAAAAAAAAAUAAGCUCAAAAUUGACAAUGUACUAAUAACAAACAACCUAAAAAACAUCAUCUAUUUAUAAUGUUAACUCAUUCAAGUAACCCAACUCUAUUUGGACCAAUAAUGAACACUCCAGGGGAUAGGAUUUUAUUUCUUGUUUUUAGGGCUUUUUGGAAUAUAUAUAUAUAAACAAGAAAUAAAAUGCGUUCUCUCUCUCCUAUCCCUUGAAGUAAAGGAGUUUUUGUAAGGGAGAUCAUAUUUUAUUUUUUCAAGGUUUUUUUUAUAUACAUAUAUUGUUAUAAAAUCUAUAAUUACAUAUAUUGAAUGCACAAUAAAAUCUUUUAAACUUUGUAACUUUUAGGUUUAGUCUCUUGGUUUUUUAUGACACUUGGGUCUUUUAGUGUCUUCUAAUGUUCUCAUUUUCUUCUCCUAUAAAUAGACUAGUCUUGUAUUCUAAGGAUUGAAAAAUAUAUAAGAAAAUGUAUCAAUUUUUCUUUUAAGUUCUAUUUUGAAUAUGUAUAUUAUUACUUGUUCUUUAUUUUUUUAACACAUUAUCAGUAUAAUCACUCUAAUUAAUUUCUAUUGAAAUGUUGACACACAUGAACUCCUAUAUUACAUGGCUUGUAUCAAUUUCAAUAUUUUCUUUUCAUUAUGUUUCAUACUUUAUAGAAUAUAUUUGGUUCUCCAACUUAUUUUUGACAAGUUUUCUUUCCUUUUUAUUCAUCAAGAACUAAAGUUUCUGAAGAACUAGUAUUGUAAGUUUCUAAAUAAAUAAAUUAAAUGCAGUUCUUGAAAAACUAGUAUUUCUAAAGAACUAAAUAAAUGACAGUUUUAAAAGACUGAUUUUUUCUUUUAUAUUCAUGAUUUUAUUUAAUAAGUUGUUUCUUUUUUUAUAUAAAUAAUAUUGAAUAUAACAAAACAUGAAUUUACUACUCUUGAUAUAUCUGAGAAUAAUUAUUUGUCAUGUAUCAUUGAUGCUAAGAUUCAUCGAGAAGCUAUAAAUCUUGGAGAGACCAUCAAAGAAGAAAAUAAUGCAUCCUUGCAUGAUCGUGCAAAAGCAAUGAUUUUUAUUUGCCACCAUCUAAGUGAAGGAUUAAAAGUUGAAUAUCUCAACAAUAAAAGAUCCUCUUGUUUUGUGGAAAAAUCUAAAAGAAAGAAAUGACCACUAAAAGUGUAUCAUACUUCCUCAAAUUCGUUAUGAUUGGUUGCACUUGAAGUUGCAAGAUUUUAAAUCCGUUAGUAAAUAUAAUUUUGCUCUUUUUAAAAUUACCUCAAAGAAGAAAUUGUAUGGUGAAAAUAUCACAAAAGACCAAAUGUUAGAGCCUGCAACAACAAUAUAGAGAAUGUAAUUCCAAGAGAUACUUAGAACUAGUUUCAUGUCUUCUUAUAACUUAACAAAAUAAUGAGCUUUUGAUGAAAAAUAAUCAAUCUCGUGCCACGUGUUCUAAACCAUUCCCUGAACUGAAUGAAACCUUUGUCCAAAACACAAGAAAGAACUAAGGGUACUGUGAACACCCGAUUGAAAUUUUCUAGGAUUAUAAAUUUAAUAAAAAGAAAUUAGGGAAAUGAAUGAAGAUAGAAAUAUAUUUUUUAUGAGAAAAUAAAUAAAUAAAAUAAAAUGGUAGAAGGGUAAAAUUGAAUAAUAUUAAGUUAAAGGUUAUGGGAUUAAAUCAAUUAAGGUGUUAAAAGAGUGAGAUCUAAAUAGAGAAUUAAAUGAACUUUGGGCCAUUAUGUAAAUAAAGGAACUUCAUGAUAUAGUACAUGAAUGGGAAGCCAUUCAUGGCCUGCUAUUGAGAGGGUGAGAAGAGAGGAAACAAUUGGGGAGAUUUCUUGUAUUUUCCACUUAGAUUUCAUCUAAUUAAGCAUUAAAUACUAGAGAGUAAGGGAUUAUAGGAAGUUUAGAGGAUAUUUGGACAAAGAAUCAAGAAAACAAUCCUUGGGAUUUUGCUAGCAGGUUUUUGAAGAAAUAAGGAGAAAGAAAAGAAAAUUUUAUUCUAGGACCUUUUACCUUCACUUUUCUUGUGGGUAAGUGGUAAAGUGCCUAAGUUUAUGAAUCUUUAUGCAUUUCUAAAUUUAUAUUUAUGAAUUAUGCAUUAAAGAAUGUUAUGUAGAAUUAUGUAAUUCAUAAAUUGAUGCUCAUAUGAUAGACUAAUGUUGAUAUGUAUGCGAAAUUAUAUGGGUGAUGAAUGAUUAAUAGAAAUUAUUGAAAGAAUAUAAUAAAUUCUAACUAGAAAUAUUUAUGUGGGGUUAUGAUAUUUAUAUGACUAUGAUAUGCACAAUUAUGAAAGUAAGCAUGUUGGUUUGAAUAGGAAAUAAUGAAACAAAAAAACUUGAAUGAAUGCCUUAAAUUGGUUAGGUCCCAUUACGAUCACUAUUUAGUUUUAUAGUUGGAAAAAAAAUUAUUCAAGUUAUUGAGAAAAUUGUGAAUAAAUAUAUCAACUAGAUGAUUUAAAUGUGUAAAGGUGAGGAAUUGAUGGAAAAAUAGAUCAUUCUAUUAAGAAUUUGCUUUCUUUGACAGAAAGAUAUAAAAAUAAAUCAAUGAAUUUAAAUGGUUAAGCUAGGUAGAAAUAAGCCAAAUGAAUUCAAAACAAAAAAGGAUUUUUUAAUAGUGAGAAGAGAAUAUUAAUUAUCUAACGUGGAAUGAAGUCUUAUUUUCAUGAGACAAUGGAAAGGGAAAGAAUUAUAUUAGUUAAGAAAAGAAAUAAUGAUUAAGGGCUUUUAAAUAGAGAAUAUAUUGAUGAGAUAAUUCAAUUAAAAAUAAAUAAAUAAAUAAGAAAGAAUCUACCAAAAGGAGAGAUUUCAUGAAUCUAUAAGAAUAAAUUUGAUUUAACUUCACAGGAGAAGUUACUGGCGGGUUAGAGACCGUGCGAAUGGUAGUACGUUAGACAACUAUAGGUAGGUGAAAAUAUUCACCACAAAAAUUGAAUUAAUCAAAUUUUUAGGGAGUUAGUAUUGAGGUUAUUAUAAUAUUUACUUUUAAUUGUUAAUCGUAAUUAUUAUGUGAGAAAACAAAUUAUACAGUUUAAUAAAUAAAAUGAUAUAUGUAAUUGAAAAAGAAUAUUGAAUUGUUUGGGCUCCCAAAAUGGGAAUGCUUGAUUUAAUGAAUAUCCACGUCAAGAUGUUGAAUUUUUUAUGGUAUUUAGAAGAGAAUACCAGAUUAGAUUGACUUUUAAAAUGAGGAAUGCUAGAUUGAAAAAAUAUCAUAGAGAUGAUAUGGUAUUCAUCAAUGAAUACUGGAUUUGAUUGGCUUCCACGAUAGGGAAUGUCAGACUGAAAAGUAUAAUAGAGAGGAUAUUGAUAUUUUUAUGGUAUUCAGAAAAAAAUACUAUAUUGGAUUGACUUUUAAAAUAAAAAAUGUCAGAUUGAAAACAAAUAUCAUAAAGAGGAUACUGAUAUUUUUAUGGUAUUCAGAUAAGAAUAUUAGACUGAAUUGACUUUCAAAAUGGAGAAUCUCAUAUUUAAGAGUAUCGACCAUGAGGGUACUAGAAUUCAUGUGGUAUUUAAAAAUAGAAAUAUAAUUGAUUGAUUCCUACAAUGAAAGUGCCAAAUUAAUGAGUAUCUAUAAGUGAAAAUUAUAAAUUAUUAAUAGUGAAGGAAACACCGAACUUGUAGAAUUUUAUUCAGAAAAUUAUGUUUGAUAAAUACGUGGUUGAUUUGUUAUGUUAAGAAAUAGAAUAUUCGAAAAGAAUUUUUAACGAUUCAGCAAUGAGAUGGAAUUGUUGGAGUAAAAAUGUAUCAUUGAAUAUAUUGUUAAAUAAUUUGGUUAGAAUUUCAAGUUUGAUUAUUUUUUCUAAAAUAUAAAGAUCAUUAAUAAUAUUAAUAAUAAAUCAAUUAUUGUGCUGAUUAUUAUAUGCAUGGUAAAUUUUCAAGUUCAUCUUAGUCUCGUCAGGGUUAACAUUUUACUGCACUCAAAUCUCUUUUGCAUAUAUUUUGUUAUAAAUAGUAUUAUUUAAUAAUGUUGAAAUGAGAAGAAUUAUGUAAUUAAUCCAGUUUAAGUAUAAGAUGAAUUGGAUGUAAAUGGUGUGUGAUAAUUAAUUAGGAUGAAUGGAAUAUAAGUUGGUUAUGUUUUAGCUUAAAUAUAUUAUGAAAUUUAAUGUUAAAUGAGACGUUUUCAUGAAAUAAUCUAAUUAUGUAAUAUUAAUCUUUUAUGAUAUAAUGUUUAGCAAAAUAAAUAAGAAUAUAUUGAUUGAUUUCAGGAAGUGGUAAGAAAUAAAAACAUAGAAAGUCAGAUAAAUGAAUUUUAGUUUUAUGUAUGGAUGAUGAAAUGGUUUGAAAUGUUCAAAUUAUUGAGUAUAUGUAUUUAAUUGUGAUCUUUGAUGUGUGAUUGAAUUGAUAUAGACACUUGGGAUGUUUUAAAUACAAAAAAAAUUCUGCUAAAAUAUGUAAAAAGAUGGAAAACAAAUCCUACCUUUUUUCUUCUUUCUAAUUUAUGGGAUUGAGGUAAUUCCCAAAAAGGUGGAUCAUUAUCUCAGGUUGUUACAUGUAUAGAUUUGGAAAAAAUAAAUGGAAAUGGAAAAGGAGAAGAGAUAACCCUUCAAAAGGUAACCCACCAAACCACUAGAAGUGGAGACAUAAUAAACCCAAACAAGAAAAGGGCAAGAAGUUGCAUAAACUUGAAGAUAAGUGUCUUAAGCGUGGUAUGCAUGGUCAUUGGUUUCACACUUGUUGCACGUUAAAACAUCUUACAGUAUUAUAUCAAGCCUCUCUGAAACAAAAUACAUUUGAGACUAAUUUUGUUCAUAAAGAUGAUCUUGAAGGUCAUAAUGUUUAUCUUAAUGUUAAUGCUUAUCUUGAUGUUUUUGAUUUAUUUGAAAACCCAGAUAGAACAAAUAACAUGUUUAAUAGUGGAAUCCUCGAGGAUAAUUAAUAUAUUUUUUUAUUUAUAUUAAGAUAUUUAUUUUAUUGUAUUUUUAAUAAACAAUGUCAAUUUUAUUUCAGUUAAAUAAUAAACUUUAAUUAUAUUUUGAAUAGAGGCAUAACUUUUCAUGAUGGAGAUUUAUGUCUAAUAAAUAAUGCAACAACGAACAAAAUUCUCAAGGGUAAGAAAUACUUUGAAUAUUUAACAUUAACCAAAGCUAAUGUCACUAUAAUAUCAGAUCCAACAGACAUGAUUAUAGAAUCCAUAAAAGCUAAUAUUAUAUUACCAAAUAACACAAAACUGAGCAUCAAAGAUGCAUUACAUCCACCGAAUCCAGAAGAAAUUUACAUAAUUUUAAUGAUAUACAUGCUAAUGGUUAUCAUAUUGAAACAAUAGAUGAAGAUAAAAAAUAAUAUCUUUAUAUUAUUUCACGUAUUCCAGGCUAGAAGCUCAUGCUUGAAAAAUUAAAUGCUUUCUAUUUUGGAAUUAUUAUACGUUUAUGAAAUCUAUUGAAACAAAUUUUAUGAUACACCAGAAGUGUUCUAACCCAAAAAUAUUUAUGCUUUAGCAUGAUCGACUUAGACAUACAGGAUCAAUAAUAAUGCGAUGAAUUAUUGAAAAUUCACAUGGAUAUCCUUUAAAGAACUUGAAGAUUCUUUUACCAAGUGAAAACUCAAGUGCUGCGUGUUCUCAAGGUAAAUUAAUUACCAAAACAUCUUCAUCAAAGGUUGUUACAAAAUCACCAACUUUCCUUAAAAGAAUUGAAGGAGAUAUAUGUGGACAUAUUCAUUCACCAUGCAAACCUUUUAGAUGUUUUAUGGUAUUGAUUGAUGCAACAAGUAAAUGGUCACAUGUUUGUUUACAUUCUAGUCAAAAUGUUACAUUUGCUAGAUUAAUAGCAUAUAUUACUAGACUACGGGCGCAAUUUUCUAAUUAUCUAAUAAAGAAAAUUCGAUUGGACAAUGUUGGUGAGUUUACUUCUCAAGCAUUUGAUAAUUUUUGCAUUUCUAUUAGGAUUGAUGUUGAACAUCCUAUUGCUCAUAUACAUACUUAAAAUGGUCUAGCAGAAUCAUUUAUAAAAUGCAUUCAAUUAAUUGCUAGACCAUUACUUAUAAAAUCAAAAUUGCUUACAUUUGUUUGGGGAUAUGCUGCAUCAUUAGUUAUAAUUAAACCAAGUGCUUACCAUAAAUAUUCUCUUUUGCAACUUGUUUUUGGUAUACCACCAAAUAUAUUUCAUUUAUGAACUUCUCAAGCAUUUGAUAAUUUUUGCAUUUCUAUUAGGAUUGAUGUUGAACAUCCUAUUGCUCAUAUACAUACUUAAAAUGGUCUAGCAGAAUCAUUUAUAAAAUACAUUCAAUUAAUUGCUAGACAAUUACUUAUAAAAUCAAAAUUGCUUACAUCUGUUUGGGGAUAUGCUGCAUCAUUAGUUAGAAUUAAACCAAGUACUUACCAUAAAUAUUCUCUUUUGUAACUUGUUUUUGGAUACCACCAAAUAUAUUUCAUUUAUGAACUUUUAGUUAUGCGAUAUAUAUGAAAAUGGGUUCACAACGUAGAAUAAGAAUUUAUAUUGGUUUUGAUUCUUCAUUUAUUAUUAGAUUCCUUGAACCUUUGACUGAUAAUGUUUUUAAAGCAUGCUCUAAAGAUUGUCAUUUUGAUGAGAACAUUUUCCCAUCAUUAAGAAAAGAAAAGUUAGUGCCUGAAGCACGAUAAAAAAUUACUUUUAAUAACCUGAAGUUAUCUUAUUUUGAUCCAAGGACAAAUCAGUGUGAACUUGAAGUUCAAAAGAUAAUUCAUUUUCAAAAUAUUGCAAAUCAAUUACCAGAUGUUUUCACCAACAGUGAAAAAGUUGGUUAAAUCCCACAUUCUAGCUGUAAAUGCUCUAUCUAGAAUCAAAAUCCUUAAAGGAAAAAAAAGCAACAUAUUAGCAAAUGAAUCUAUACCAUGCUUGAAGUGUGAAAGACAUGUUGGUUCUAAGGCCAAAAAUCAUAGAAAAUAAAAAUUACAACAAAUAGACGAUAAUACUCUUUAAGAUUCCUCAUUCAUAAAACAUGCGAUAAAUAUAGUGUCAAAAUCAUCUCAUAAUGCUGAUCCUCCUGAAGAGAGACCUCCUAAAGAGGCAUCUCCUAAAGAGAUCUAGGUACUUAGAAAUAGUAACAUCUCCAUAAACUAUUUUCACAUAGGAGAGAUUUUGGAUCAAAAUAAAAUUGUAAUAAAUAAUGUAUUUGAAUUUAAGGUUGUUUUUGACAUCACCAAAUGUAAUGAUGAAAUUGAAUCACAAACUGUUGAAGAAUAUCGAUAUCAAAAUGAUUAGCCAAUAUGCAAAGAAGUAAUCCAAACAAAGUUAAACUCACUUGCAAAUCAUGAAGUAUUUGGACAUGUAGUUCAUACACCUAAAGGUGUUAUGCCUGUUGGAUAUAAGUGGGUUUUCGUUAGAAAUCGAAAUGAGAACAAUGAAAUUGUUUGAUACAAGGCAUGACUUGUUGCACACAGUUUCUCACAACGACCUGACAUUAAUUAUAAGAAAACUUAUUCUCCAGCUAUGGAUGCAAUCACUUUAAGAUUUUUUAUUGGUUUAGUAGUCUCAGAAACUCUAGAUAUGUGUUUAAUGGAUGUAAUUACAUCAUAGCUAUAUAGAUAAUUAGAUAAAGAUAUCCAUAUAAAAAUAUCUAAAUGAUUCAAAAUGCCUGAAGCUUUUUAUGAUAAACCAAGAAGUGUUUAUUCUAUUAAACUACAAAAUUUGUCAUAUGGGUUAAAGUAAUUUGGUUAAAUAUGGCACAGCCAUCUUAAUGAAUACCUCCUAGAAAAAAGGUUUGAGAAUAAUAAGAUUUUUCCAUGUAUUUUUAUUAAGAAAACCACAUCUGGAUUUGCUAUUAUUGCAGUAUAUAUUGAUAAUUAAAAUUUUUUUGGUACUUCUAAAGAGCUCAUAAAAAUUACAACAUAUUUGAAAGAUGAAUUUGAGAUGAAAAAUAUCAGAAAGCCAAAAUUUUGUCUUGAUUUUCAGAUUGAACAUCUUUCAAAUAGAGUAUUUGUCCAUCAAUCAAUGUAUACAAAAAAGGUCUUAAAGUACUUUUACAUGGACAAUGCUUAUCCUUUGAGUACACCUAUGGUUGUUCGAUCACUUGAUGUGAAGAAAGACCCUUUAUGACUGCUAAAAGAGGAUGAAGAAAUUCUUGGUGCAAAAAUACUAUAUCUUAGUACUAUUACAACACUCAUGUAUCUUGCAAAUUGUACAAGACUAUAUAUAGCUUUUUGCAGCCAAUUUAUUGGUUAGAUAUAGUUCCACUCCCAUAAAAAGACACUAGAAUGGGGUCAAACAUAUACUUCGUUAUCUCCGCGGAACAAAUAAAAUGAGGUUAUUUUAUAAUGGGUCAAAUUCACAAUUGAUUUGUUGUGCAAAUGCUAGUUAUCUCUCUAAUCCCCAUAAAAAAAAAUCACAAACAUGUUAUCUAUUUACCUAGAGGUACUUCAAUUCCUUAGAGAUCUGUCAAACAAAUAUUAGUGGCUAUUUCAUUAAAUCAUUUAGAAAUUAUUACAAUCCAUGAAACAAGUCCAGAAUGUAUAUGGAAUUAUCCAGCACAUAAAAGAAAAAUAUGGAUUGUCAACCAUUGAAGAUAGUCUCACAAUAUUGUUUGAAGAUAAUACUGUUUGCAUCACUUAAUUUAGAGGAGGCUACAUUAAUGGAGAAAAAAAAACAUAUCUCACCAAAUUUCUUUUAUACUCACGAGCUUUAACAUAAGAGAAAAAUUGAUAUCAAGCAAAUCAGAUUAAAUGAUAAUUUUAGUAGACUUAUUUACAAUGUCUUUACAAGCUUCAACUUUCAAAAAACUUGUCCAUAAUAUUAUAAUGCGUCAUCUUAAAAAUUUAUCAUAAGAAAUGUACUUUUAAGGUGAAGUCAAUGCAAAUUAUACUCGUUUUUCUUUACUUAGGUUUUUCCCAUUGAGUUUUACUUUGCAAGGUCUUAAUGAGACAAUUUAACAUUUUUGUGAAUCAUGAAAUAUUCAAAUAUGGAUCUUGAAGUAUCCAUAUAAAACCUUCUAUUGAAUUUUGAAGUAUUCAUAAAUCACACAAGAAUAUUGUACUCAUUUUCUUUCGCUUAGGUUUUUCCCAUUGAGUUUUUAUUUGCAAGGUUUUAAUGAGAUAUUUUUAGUAGUUGGUCAUUCAAAGGGAAGUGUUAUAAAAUUUAUAAUUAUAUAUAUUGAAUGCCCAUUAAAAUCUCUUAGACUUCAAUGACUCUUGGGUUUAGUCUCUUGGUUUUCCAUGACAAUUAGGUUUUCUAGUGUCUUUUAAUGUUCUCAUUUUCUUCUCAUAUAAAUAGACUACUUGUCUUGUAUUCUAAGGAUUGAAAAAUAUAUAAGAAAAGACAUGAAUUUUUUUUUAAAAUUAUAUAUAUAUAUAUAUAUAUAUAUAUAUCCACUUGUCUUUUUGUUUUUGGAUUUCUCAACAAACAAAUAUUCCACAUGUGACAUAUAAACUAAUAGAAUCUGAUAGAAUAUAACCUCAAUGAAAUCACAAGACAGUAUAGAAUCUAUAAAAAUAUUGUAUAGUGGAGUAAUCUAUUUUAUAUAAAAAUAUUGUAUAGUGGGAAAUGAGGAUCGGCUGGCUUUGCUUUAGCAUGUGGGUGGCCUUUAAGGUGCACAGUAAAUGGUACUGAGGUAAUAGGGAAUGGUUCAAGAUUUUAUUCGAAAAAAUGGAAGCAUUUUUCGUCAAAUACUUCACUUCGUAAUAAGUAAGGAUUCUGGUAUCUUGAUGGUUAUUAUUUCUUGUGUCCCCUCACUAGUAAACACGAGAAGGUACACUCGACAUGGAAGAUGAAUCUAAUUUACUCCUUACUCUGCGUUGGACGGAUCAGGGAUUCUAUAUUUCAUGAGACAACCUAUUUUGGCUCCAGAAUUUUGUCACAUAACUAAGUCAAUUUCCCUCCUUCCUUUAAUGUUUGUCACAUAACUGAAAACAUGGAGGCCAAUUCAGACCAUUUGUCACAUAAUUAUCUUUAAUUUAAAUUGUCAUAUACAGGAUGAAAUUUGACAUCAAAUUCAUGCAUAAAAUUAUUUGGAGACUGAAGGCGUCACCAAUUGGGCCCACUUAUUAUCGAUUACAGUAAAAAUUGUUGUUCAGCAUGAUGGUAUCGUCAUCCAUCAUUUCAAAGUACUUAAAGAGUUGAGAAUCAUUGGACAAGUCUUUGUCUUUCCAUUCUAAAUUUUUUUCAGUUCAAUACAGAAAGACGACUUUGGCCCGGCGACGCACAUGAACAAAAAUAAAAUAAAAUGAGAGUCAAUAAUUUAGCACACCAGACAAAUCGAGCAUCUUUCAAAUGAUCAAUCAAGUUCGGUGCAAUCAAUCUGAUUCUGAAUCCGGUUCCUUUAUCUACGAACCAAGGCGUCUGUAGCAUAUUCAUUGAUUAUAUAUAUAUAUAUAUAGUCAAAAUGUUACUUUAAUUUUCUUUUUUAAUUUGGCUCAACUUGGAUUGAUCCUCUUGACUCAUGACUCAGACCUCACCCCGGGUCAAUCUCAAGUUAAGUUUUAAAGUUAUGAUAAUAAUUAUUUUUAUUUUUAUAUUGCCUCGAGUCAACCCGAGUUGACCAUUCUGACUUAUGAUUUAGGUUGUCCCGGGUCAACCUCUUAGUCGGAUUUUAAAACUAUAAUAAUAACAAUUUUUAUCUUUACAUUAACCUGAGUUAAUAGACAACCUGAUCCAUGACCCGGGCUUUGCACCAGGUCGAUUGAUAUGAUUCUAAUGUGUAUGGGAAUUUAGAUUGUUCAAUGAUGAAAGCUCGAGCGAAACAACUACAAAGCACCUUAACAAGUCAGAUUAGCAUUAAUGAAGCUUGAAUGAGUUUGGAGGCUUGUAAAACUAAAUGAAAAUGGUUCAAGCAUGUUUCUUUAUUUUCAAAUAAGGCCUGAGAAAUGAUUUGAGAGUUUUGGAGAGUUAGGGUUUUCUUUCAGCCCGUGGCCUAAUUUGAUCCCAAUUUUUCACCACUUUAUUGCUUUGGAAAAUAAGCCUAUUUUAUUUGGUUUUCAAGUUCAAAAAAUCAUCUUUCUAGUUUGUCCACCUAUGCAUGCAUUGAAGUCUUGUAUAGAAAGUUAUGAUUGUUUUGAUUCUUUUUUGUGUGUGUGUUCUAUAAGUAAAAAACAUAUGCUCUUUAUUAUUUGUCUAGUUUUCUAAACAAAGUUAUUUAUUUGGGUCUCAAUUAUAUCACUUUGGUAUUUCAUAAACUUAGAGGGUUGUUCCAUAUAUAUAACGAUGUUUCAGACCAAAUAUGGGGAACUUUUGAAACAAUAUAGAACUUUUCAACUUUUUCCUUUAAAGAAUUUUCUUCCUUGUUCUUCCAUUUCCAGAAUUGGUUGAAGAACAAAUCAAACUUAUCAUUCUUAAUCACAAAGGGUGUGACGUCUUUAUCCUAAUUGAAAUUCUUUUGUGAUGUCUUCAACUUAUCAAAGAGUUUCAUUUAGACUUUAUCUCUCAUUUCCAUUACAAAUUAUGUAAUUUAUAGCCUAAACACCAUAAGAAAAAACCAUUUAACUAAACCCACCUUCCUUCAUCUUCAUAUCAUAUUGCUAGUUUGUUCGGGUUAGGAAGCUAAGUCAUAACAUCUUGGUAUCAGAGCAAAGGUUUCAGAGUUGAUUUGCGACUUUGUAUAACUGUCUUGGGAUCUGACACGACCAAAAGAUUGAUGUCUUCUCCCAAGUGCAGGAGUGUCGAAGUAAUAAAUAACUCGGCAAGACCGGGAUCGAACCAUAGUGAGGUUAAUUGUAUAAAUUAUAAAUAACAACAACAACAAUAACAACAAUAACAACAACAACAACAAUAAUAAUACUAAGUUAAAGAGAGCUUUGAGAUGUGAUAUUGAUGUAAGGAUUAAAUAAGGAUAAAAUAAUUGUCAAGGUUAGAGGAUCCACUAAUGGUAUUUCAAACAAGUAUAGUAUAAACUCUUUUUAUAACUCAACUAGAAACCAUACACAAAGGAGGUUCCAAUCGGAUUAUAAAUUGUUAACAUGAUUACAUUAGUUACCUUAUUCGAACAAUGCUAAUACUUGUAAAUGUUGUCAGACAUUCAUGAUUAUAACUUAUGUUAACAACAAAUCAAGUUCCUUUCAUAGUAUAGGUGUCGGUUAUACCAUACGGUUGGACUAUGAAAGUGCCAAGUAUUUGUUGUACCAAGGGUUAUACAACAUAAAUCUAGAUUAACCAUUUAACAAGCAAAGUAUUAAAAGUGAACAAGAUAACAAAUAUAAAACAUGUUAGUAUCAAACAUUAAGGUCCAUGUUGAGUUUACAUUAUACUUAUUCUUACACCAUUAGUGUAACCUUUUCACCUUUACAUGAUAAACUUAGCUAAACAUAAUGAAAAAGAGAAACAUAAAUAAACAAGGAAAGGAAAUGAAAAGCAUAAGCAAGAGAUUAAUAUAAGCAAAACUUAAGCAUUACAAAAUAUAAAGAGAGAGCAAGAGCAUGAUCUUGAUCUGAAAACCAAGAUGCCUACAUACAUGGCAAAUGCCUCCUUUUAUAGGCUAAAAUUCGAAACUAUUGAUUUGUUGACUAAUUGUUGAGUGGGUGGCCACAUCUUGACUUGGUAACAAUCUUUAUCUUCUUGUCUGCCAAAAACGUCAUUGAUAAUGUCAUAAUUUGAGAAGACUUAAAUCAUGAAAGUUCUAGGAAAUUGUCUCAGCUUUCCAAAAAAAAAUAGUUGAGGUCAUUUGGACUUCUAGAACUCAAGAUAUGGGCUGAACACUGAACAGUGUCUGAGCUGCAGGACAGAUUCAGACUUCUCUGUUGUUGCUACAAUUUGGACUUGAAAACGGUCUUUUUAAAUCUUAGACUCCGCAUGAAAGUUUUAGGCCUAUGUCUUAGCUUUCAAUCCAUAUAAGGCAGACCUAAAUCCAAGAUCUACAGCUCCAGAUAUAACCCAAUGACUGAACAGUGUUCCAGUUUGGACUGAACCAACAUCUCUUUUCUAAGUUUGGCCCUCUCUUUGUCCUUUCAAUUUCCGUACUUAAACUCAUCAAUCAAUCCUUUCAUUUAUGUGAUAGACCUGCAUUUAAGAUGAACAUUUACCAUAAAUUAAAGGUAUCUUAUGGUAUCAGACUUGUUAUUAUAAAACAUGCUUUAGUUAAAGAGUUAUUGAUAUUUCAAGUGCAAAAUGAUGAUAUAAAACCUUGAUAAAAAUACAUUUUUAAGUACUAAUCAGGAUCAGAAAUAUCAAGGAUUGUGGACCGAAAGAAAUUGCUUUCUUUGACUUGGAUUUGGAUUGGAACGAGGUUUGCCUUGCUGGUUGUGGUGGCUAUUCAUAUUCUUCAUUGAAUUUAUGAUCUGAGUUGAAAGACGUUGUUAUUUAGAUUUGUGUGUGAAUUGUGGGAAAUUGAUAUAUUAUGGCUAGAGAAAAAGAUGAAGUUCCAAGGGGAAUCAAUUUGGAACAAGCGCGACUGAUUGGUCUACAACGAUCUCAUGACAAGAUUCUAGAAGAAAUGACAUAAAUUCAUGAUCGGAUAGAUGCCCUUAUGCAAAUGAUGCAAUGGAACAAUUUGUAACUUGUAAUAACUCAAAUUUCUCAUCAAUUCAUGACAUGAUGUUUAAUCAAAGGACACGAAAAUAGGUGAUAAGAAGUUUUUUUGUAUCAUCACGUUUAUCGAUGCUUUGUACAACAAUGUUUAUAAAUCGAGCACAUAGGCAUCAUCGAUUAAUAUAGCAUAAUACCCAUAUGAUCACAUAAUCCAUCAUCCUUAUGGCAGAGAAUACAUAAACAAUACAUUCAUAUCAUUAUAUCUUUAUACAUAUAAGUUCACAUCCCUAUUUCCAAAAAGUCAUCAUUACAAGUCUUUACAAAAGUGUCGAUCGACUAAUCCAUAGCUAUUACAUUGUUACCUAAAAUGCAUAUCACCCUAAACAUGCGAUUACAUGGUUUAUAUCAGAACACGUGGAACAAUAUUCCUACGCGUCAUGGCUAUGUGAUGUCCGUGUUACAGUUUAAAUGCAUUGUAAGAAAUAAGAACAAUCUUUAAUAUAAUACCAAUGAACAUAAGAACAUGAUUGCAAAUUUCACUAUUAACUUAUGUAAGUAAAUUCUUUUCAUUAACUUCAUAUAAUACGGUCAUUUAUGAUUCCGUUGAACGAUGUUAAUAUUAUUUGUAUAUCCCAUUCACUCAAAUUGAGAUUUAGAGACCGAAGUUAACUCCCCGGUCUCCCUUGGUCUGUAAACCCGAGUGUCAUUUCCCAAAUGAUUAUCCAAUAAAUAUAUCAUUAGUUGGGGCUAAUUGCUUCAUUCAAUCUCGGUUAUCCAAUAAGGAUACCAUUAGUUGAGACUAAUUUCUCUGUUCAAUCCCGAUAAUCCAAUAUGAAUACCAUUAGCUGAAGCUAAUCACAUUAUUCAAUCUUGGUCGUCCAAUACGGAUACCACUAAUCGAAGCUAAUCAUAUUAUUCAAUCCUAGACAUCUAUUAUGGAUACCAUUAACCGAAGUUAAUCAUAUUAUUCAAUCUUGAUCAUCCAUUAUGGAUACCAUUAGCCAAAGCUAAUCACAUUAUUCAAUCAACUACUUUAUGAGCAAUUUCCAAUAAUCAUAACCGAGUAGCAACAAUUUAUAUAAAAUUCAUUACAAAGAUCUAACAUAAUUAUGGAAAAGGGUGGAGACCACCUACCGGCUCUUCCCGUGGGGUGUUCUCGUCCGAUCAAAGAUCCAAUCCCGGUCGCACCUCCUGAUACACCAAAUGAUCAUCAAUCAUUAUAUUUAUAUUCAACAAUAUGAUAUACUAUUACCACACAUAUUCCGAAGAAAUGCACAUGCCUACAUUUAAGUGUUCCUCGUAUCAUAUAAUCAUAUAAUGAAAAUCAUCAUAUCUAGAUAUUUUUCUCAAUUCUAAAUGUAGGUUAUCCCUAUAAAUUUUAUGGUUUAAUUCUAGAGUCCCGUAAUGGGGUUAGGCCAAACUGACAUUGGAAUCAUCAACGAGAACUAUAUUAUUUCUGGCAUGAAACUCGUCAAUGACAACUAAGUUAUUUAUGACACAUAAAAUCAUCAACAAAAACUAAAUCACUUCUGACACAGAAAUCAUCAACGAAAACUAAGUCAUUUCUGACAUGGAAAAUCAUCAACGAAACUAUGUCAUUCCUGAUGCUACCUUUUCCUAGGUUACAUCUAGGACCCAUGUCAAGUUUUUCCCUUCCGCACCCUUCCACAUAGUUCGGACAUAGACCAACACCAAAUCAUAUUCAAAUAUACAAAGUAAAGGUGAUACAUGUUGUCCCUAUUUCAUGACGAUAGUUUGUACUUAACCACAUUAUUAAAGACAACCUAUUGAUUGACAUUCAUUCCCACAAUGGUCAUAGCCCUAUUACUUCUCUUUUUAACAUGCUACGGUUCUCCUCAAUGUCAACAACACUUCUUAUUCAUCGUAGCAUGGUAAAAUACAUCAUAGGCAUUCUAGUUUAUAACAUACAACCUAACAUGGACAAGAGUAAGGAACACACACUAUUCAUCAAUUCAUCAAAUUUAUCAUAAGGUUGUCACAAAAUGCGAGAUCAAUCCAAACAUGUACUUUUUUCUAAGGAUUCUCCCACCUAGUGGUCCAUGACCGAACCUUGUGUUGUCAACAAUUAUUCAUUCCAUUGUUCAUAAUUAUAUCAUUCCAAUUUAUCACACACAUUAUAAUAGGAAUUCUUCAUUAUACAAGAGUCUCCUUUCCAUUCUAUAUCUUAUUUCCCUAAGAGCGUUCAUCAUGCAAGGUCUACAUCAUGGUUUUCCCCUUUUUGACCAGACAUUGCUGCCCAUUUUCUUUCUAAUAUACAUAUACAAUUCGUCAUUUCUAUCACAAGUAUGUUCACAACAACAUGCUAUAAUCACACAUUCAUUCACUUGGUUCAUAAUCAUACAAGUUCAUCAAUCACAUAAACAAAAUCAAGGCAUUAAGAUAAUAUUAUUUAUGUUUUAGCUCAAACAUGUUCUAAAGGCUUAACAAGAUCAUAAUCUAUACAUUCCAUCACUUUAUUUCACUUUCUUUUCAUCAUUUUAUUUGGCCGAUCCUUAUUUAGUGUUUGUUCAUCCAUAUUUAUCAAUUUUUUUCCUAGUAAAGAUUCUACACUUGUGUCCUUUCAUUCCCUACUCUUUUUUUCAAUCUUCUUAUUUAGUUUUUUUUUCCUGAAUUAACAAGUGUAAGAACCCUAAAUCUUUUACUUUGAGUUUCCCCCCUCUUCCUUUUCUGAAAUCUUAAAUCAACAAACAAGUGGUAUUACUUUUACCACUCAAUUUUAAACAACUUUAGGAAAGGUUUUGGUGAUUUUCUUCUUCUCUUCCUCUUGGUUUUUCUCUCUUUAUUUUGUUGUUCUAGUCGACUCCCUAGGUUCUUUCUUCUUUUAUGUUUUCGCUCCUUCUUCCUUUCUCUAACUCUUUAAUGUGAAUCUCGUGAUCAUGUGAUCACGCAACUUACAAUCAAUAUUGAGAUUUGAUCCUAAAAAGCCAAAAAAAGGUCUGAUAGGAGUGUGACACAAUGAAAACCUACCCCAUGGCACCAACACUAUUGGAAUGAAAUAGAAUGACACCACGAAGCCAGCUAAUCUUUAAUAAGUAAAAUUCAGUUUGUUCAAGAACUAAAGAAUGCAAGAAUCAAUCUCAUACGUUAAAACUAAAAAAAAUCAAAAGUAAUAUUCAUCAAUGACUGCCGAAAUUUUGGUUAAAUGUAUUUAAAUAGUUCUUAAAAAUCCUAAUGGAUUUACCCUUAUGGGUUGAACUGACCCACAUACAAAACUGACCCAAAACCCUAAACUGAAAAGUCAUAUCCUAAUCCAAACAAGCCUUGAAUCCUAAUUGAAAACAAAGUAUUAAUUAAGUUCAAACAAGUCUUAGGUUGUAACUAAUAAAAAUAAAAAUAAAGCCUAUAAUAUUAAUUCAUGUUCUGCCAUGAGAAGAAGAGAAAGAAAUAAAAUAUUACAGAACUGAUUCAAGGCUUAUUUAUAGCCUUCCAUGCAACCCAUUAAUCCUACAAAUAAAAGGAAAAGGCAACCACCUAUAUUGUUUCCAAGUUGUAGUAGGAUUCUUUUGUUUUCUUUGUUGUCCUCACCUCAUGGUCCAAAUGAGGUUGGAUUAGGCUCCUUUUGCAUAUGGAUAAGAUGUACUAGAGCCUACCCUUGAUACUCCAAUGGACCCUUCAAAUUUGACUUGGUUGAAACCUUCAAAACCAAUGCAUUCAAUGCCUUUAAUUUGGACCGAGUUAUUGGACCAUUUGAAACAUGUAACGGGUUCUUACUAGUGUUUCUGGGCUGGUCCACAGCAUCCCCUCUCUCCUCGAAAGGAUUCGACCUCAAAUCAAAACAUGUGUCAAACAAAGUACGAUCAACAACAUUAAAAGUAGCAUUAACACCAUACUCACUUGGAAGAUCAAUUUUGUAUGCGUUGUCGUUGAUCCUCUCUAAAACCUGAAAUGAACCAUCACCAUGAGGCUGUAAUUUUGAUUUUUUUUGGUUAGGAAAUCGUUCCUUACGCAUAUGCACUCAAACCCAAUCACCGGGUUGGAAAACAACCUGUUUACACCUCUUAUUUGCUUUAAAAGCGUACAAUAUAUUUUUUUUCUUUCUAUUUGCAGUCGAACUCUCUCAUGGAGUUGUCUCACCAUCUUUGCCUUCUUUUCACCAUCUAAACUUACCCUUUCUUUAAAAGGUAAAGGAAUUAAGUCCAUAGGAGUUAGUGGAUUAAAUCUAUAAACAAUUUCAAAAAGAGAAAAGCUAGUAGUCGAAUGCACAGUUCUAUUAUAAACAAACUCAACAAAAGACAAACAUUUUACCUAACUUUUCAUAUUCUUUUGAAUAACAACAACAAAAGUUAGGAUUAAGUUUUAUUUAUUACCUCAGUUUGUCCAUUUGUUUGAGGAUGACAUGUUGUCGAAAAUAAGAAUUUAGUUCCCAACUUUUCUCAUAAAGUCUUCCAAAAGCAGCUAAGGAACUUAACAUCGUGAUCUGACACUGUACUCCUAGGAAUGCCAUGCAAACGUACAAUCUCUAAAGAAUAAGUCCGCGAUAAGAAACAACAAAAACAACCAAAAUUCUCCAAAUUCCCCUACACUUUAAACACAACAUUGUCUUUAAUGUAGAAAUAAAAGAAAAGGAAUAUAAAAGAAUGACAAACAUAAAGUAAAAUGCAAGAAAUAAAAGAUAAGGGAAAAGAAAGCAAAUAUGAAUAUUUUGUUUGUUGGGUUGCCUCCUAGUAAGCACUUUUGUUUUAUGUCAGUGACUUGACACAUCACAUGUUUAUACCUUAUAGAUUGGUUCAACUAACUCCACAGAAACGGUGAGUUUGUUAUCCAACCUUCAUAGAAAGAUUUCAAUCGACGUCUAUUGACUUUGAGCACUUUAUUUGUUUCUAAACUUGUAAUCUCAACUGCACCUUAAGGAAAAACAUUAGAAACAACAAAGGGUCCUAUCCAACAAAAGCGUGAUUUUCAAAGAAAAAGAUUCAAAUGUGAAUGAGAAAGAAGAACUUUGUAUUUAACAUGAAACUCCUUUUGUAAACCCCCGGUUAUAAUUUUUCUAGGUUAUUAAACUAUGAGAAAUUUAACCAAUAGUAAAAUGGGUUAAAUUAAAUUAAAGAAACAUAAAUCAAGAUAAAAAUAGUGAAAUUAAUGAAAUGAAAAGUAAAUAUAGUACUAAAUUGUUGAAAAGAAAAAUAUUUGUGAGGACAAAAUGAAUACGUAAGACCAAAAGAGGUCAAUAUUCAAAUAACAGAAGGUUAUGAGUUUAUGAACAAAUGAUAAAAAGGAGUGGGGAUAAAUUUGCAAUUAAUAAGAUGUUAGCACUAUAAAUAUCAUUCUAUUUUCUCUCUUGGAGGGACUUGCAAGAGCAAGAGAGAGUUUAAAGAGAGGUUGGAGAGAAGACAUAUUGAUGGCAGAAAAGCCGACAACUAUAACUCCACCUUCCACCAUUGGAUUAGAACGAUAUUCAAAUAUGUUGUUCUCCUCUAUGUCGUGUACAUCUUCACUGGAGGGAGUUUCUAUAGCAGUCCCCGUUUGAGAGAUAUUGCGAGAGGAACAUUUAUGGGAAAAUACACUUCUGGACAAUCUUCGUCGUCGACUGAUUUCUCCUUCGGCCACCAUUGGAUCAGGCUAUAAUUUGGAUAUAUUGUUCUUCCUGAUGUUGUAUAGAUUCGGAACGGUGAAGAUCAGAAACAAACACUCGGUGUAGAAGUUGUGCUUCUCGCAUAGUAGGUCUACAAGUUUAAGGUCAGUUCGGUUAAACCUAUAUUUCUAGAAAUUUCACCAUUUGAUGAUGUUGAUAUUUGGAUAUGUUAUACUCAUAAUAAUGCAUUAUAACUUGACCGUAUGGAUUUUUUGGAAUGUUAUUCAUUUUUUAUUUAUGGUUGAUUGAAAUUGUUGUUAAAAUUAGUUUUGUGUGAACUGAAACAACCCUAAAACUUAAAAGGAAAUGGAGCAUUAGAGAGACUUAAUUUUUGGGAGACUUUGGAGCUGCUGUGAUAGCCCUGAAAGUGUAUGUUUAAGAGGGGUAAAUACCUCUCCAAAAUCAAAAGUAAAAAUAAAAAUAAAAAUGUGUAAGGUUAUUGUGCUUGUUACCCUAAUUUCUAAGGACAACUCAGAUUGAUAUAAAACAUCGGCCACAUGAAUAGGGGCAAGGAAAGUUAGCUGACCAUAUGAAGAGCAAAGAGGAAAAAGGGGGGGGAUUGUGGUUUUCCUCAAUGAAUUUAUUAUAAUAGUUUGUUUUCUUUAUGUGAAUGUGUGUGUGAAUUGAAUGAAAUUAGCAUGAAAAGAAUGAGGGAACUCUUAGUUCCUUAAGGCCAUGCUUUCGGUCAAUUAUGUAUCAAAGGGGGAGGAUGUUUAAUUUGACAUAUUUAGCUUGAUGACGUGUGUUUAAUUGAGUCAAAAUAAGAAAGAAAAAAUACAUGUUGAAAUGUCAAGGAUUGUGUUUAGAAGAAUAUUGUUCGGAAAGUUUGUAAAAUCAAUAAGAAUGUUUUAUUUUGACGUUAAGAGGAAAGAUUGAGAUAAAUAAGAUAAAUUGGCUAUUAAAAAGAUAUUUUUGACAAUCUUAAACGGUAUGUGAUAUGGCUAGGGGUUGAGAUAAAAGAGAAAAAAAGUUAAAUUGUGGAUAUUGUAUGUAAAUGGAAAGGUUGAUGAAUCUGGACAGAUUCGUCUCCUGACUUUUAGAGAGAAUUCGAGUAGGAGGAUAAGGGAAUUAUGACACGACCAAAGAGUUGAUGUCUUCUCCCAAGUGUAGGAGUGUCAAAGUAAUAAAUAACACGGCAAGACCGGGGUCGAACCACAGGGAGGUUAACUGUAUAAACUACAAAUAAAGAAAUAGAUAAUAACAGAAAAUGAGUUGAAGAGAGCUUUGAGAUGUGUAUUGAUAUAAGGAUUAAACAAGGAUAAAAUAAUUGUUAAGGUUAGAGGAUACACUAAUAGUAUUCCAAACAAGUAUAGUAUAAACUCUUUUUAUUACUCAACUGGAAACCACACACAAAGAAAGUUCCAAUCAGAUUAUAAAUUGUUAACAUGAUUACAUUAGUUAUCUUAUUCAAAUAAUGCUAAUACUUGUAAAUGUUGUCAGACAUUCAUGAUUAUAACUUAUGUUAACAACAAAUCAAGUUCCUUUCAUAGUAUAGGUGUCGGUUAUACCAUACGGUUAGGCUAUGAAAGUGUCAAGUAUUUGUUGUACCAAGGGUUAUACAACAUAAAUCUAGAUUAACCAUUUAACAAGCAAAGUAUUAAAAGUGAACAAGAUAACAAAUACAAAACAUGUUAGUAUCAAACAUUAAAGUCCAUGUUGAGUUUAUACUAUACUUAUUCUUACACCAUUAGUGUAACCUUUUCACCUUGACAUAAUAAACUUGGCUAAACAUAAUGAAAGAGAGAAACAUAAAUAAACAAGAUAAGAACAUAAAUAAGAUAUAAGUUAACUAAGUAAAGGAAAGGAAAUGAAAAGCAUAAACAAGAGAUUAAUAUAAACAAAACUUAAACAUUACAAAAAUAUAAAGAGAGAGAGAGUAAGAACAUGAUCUUGAUCUGAAAACCAAGAUGCCUAAAUGCAUGGCAAAUGCCUCCUUUUAUAGGCCAAAAUUUGGAACUAUUGAUUUGAUGACUAAUUGUUGAGUGGAUGGCCACAUCUUGACUUGGUGACAAUCCUUAUCUUCUUGUCUAAACAAAACAUCAUUGCUAACAUCAGAAUUUGAACAGAUAGUAUUUAUAAAAGUUCUAGGAAAUUGCCUCAGCUUUCCAACAAAACAAAAAUCGACACAUUUGGACUUCUAAAACUCAAGAUAUGGGCUGAACACUGAACAAUGUCUGGGCUGCUGGACAGAUUCUGACUUCUCCGUUGUUGCUACAAUUUGCACUUGAAAACGGUCCUUUUGAAUCCUGGGCUCUGUAUGAAAAUUUUAGGCCUAUGUCUUAGCUUUCUAUCCAUAUAAACCAGACCUAAAUCCAUGUUCUACAGCUCCAGUUAUGAUCUAAUAACCGAAUGGUGUUCCAAUUUGAAUUCAACCAGUAUCUCUUUUCUAAGCUUAGCCCUCUCUUUGUCUUCUCAAUUUCAGUGGUUAAACUCAUCAAUCAAUCCUUUGAUUUAUGUGAUAGGCCUACAUUUAAAAUAAACAUUAACACAUAAAUUAAAAGUAUCUUAUAUUAUUAAACAUGUUAUUAUAAAACAUGCUCUAGUUAAGGAGUUAUUAAAACUUCAAGUGUAGAAUGAUGAUAGAAAACCUUGAUAAAAAUACACUUUUAAGUACUAGUCAAAUUUGGAUCAAGUUUCUUUAUAGUAAUUGUAUUUUUGGAUGUUAGCUAACUAAAGAAAUUAGUUUUGCUCAAUUUGGAGUUGUAGAACUCCAGUUAUGGGUCACCAACCGAGACUAGGUUAUGACUGACUCUAUAAGGCAGUAGGUCUGGUUAGUUGAUGAGCAAUUUUGACUAUCUUAGGGGUAGAACUGGGCUCUACUUCCCUCAGAGAACUUGUAGUCUCGUGUCUUAGCUUUCCAACAAGACUAAUCUCGCUUGAAACAGAGUUCUAUAACUCUAGAUAUAGUUAAAAAUCUGAGAAGGGGUCAGAUAGUAACAAUUCAAUGUUAAGACAGUAACGGUUGGACAGUAACAAUCCAAUGUUUGUUGAUAAGCAAUUCUGAUUGUCUUAUAAGCAGAAAUAGGUUCUCUUUCCUUCAGAGAACUUGUAACCACGUGUCGUAGCUUUCUAAUGAGACUAAUCUUGCUUGAAAUAGACUUCUAUAAGUCUAGAUAUAGUUAAAAAUCUGAGGAGAGGUCGGACAGUAAUAGUUCGAAUCAAGAUAGUAAAAGUUGGACAGUAACAAUCCAAUGUUUGUUGAUGAGCAAUUUUGACUCUCUUAGAGGAAGAAUUGGGUUCUCUUUCCUCCAGAGUACUUAUAGCCUCGUGUCUUAGCUUUCCAAUGAGACUAAUAUCACUUGAAAUAGACUUCUAUAACUCUAGAUAUAGUUAAAAAUCUGAGGAGAGGUCAGACAGUAACAAUUCCAUAUCAAGACAGUAAAAGUUGGACAGUAACAAUCCAAUGUUUGUUGAUGAGCAAUUUUGACUCUCUUAAAGGAAGAAUUGGGUUCUCUUUCCUACAUAGUACUUGUUGCCUCAUGUCUUAGCUUUCCAACGAGACCAAUCUCGCUUGAAACGAAGUUCUAUAACUCUAGAUAUAGUUACAAAUCUAAGGAGGGGUCGGACAGUAACAGUUUAAUGUCAAGACAGUAACGGUUGGAUAGUACCAGUCCAAUGUUUGUUUAUAAGCAAUUCUGAUUGUCCUAGAAGCAGAAAUGGGUUUUGUUUCCUUCAGAGAACUUGUAGCCUCGUGUCGUAGCUUUUCAACGAGACCAAUCUCGCUUGAAAUAGAGUUCUAUAACUCUAGAUAUAGUUACAUAUUUGAGGAGGGGUCAGACAGUAACAGUUCGAUAUCAAGACAGUAAAGAUUGGACAAUAACAAUCCAAUGUUUAUUGAUGAGCAAUUUUGACUAUUUUAUAGGCAGAACUGGGUUCUCUUUCCUCCAGAAAACUUGUAGCCUCGUGUCUUAGCUUUCCAACGAGACCAAUCUGGCUUGAAACAAAGUUCUAUAACUCUAGAUAUAGUUAAAAAUCUGAGCAGGGGUCGGACAGUAACAGUUCAAUGUCAAGACAGUAAUGGUUGAAUAGUAACAGUUCAAUGUUUGUUAAUGAGAAAAUGUGACUGUCUUAGAGGCAGAACUGGGUUCUCCUUCCUGCAAAUAACCUGUAGCCUCGUGUCUUAGCUUUCCAACGAGACCAAUUUCGCUUGACACGAAGCUCUAUAACUCUAGAUAUAGUUAAAAAUCCGAGUAGGGGUCGGAUAGUAACAGUUCCAUAUCAAGACAAUAACGGUUGGACAGUAACAAUCUAAUGUUUGUUGAUGAGCAAUUUUGACUGUCUUAGAGGUAGAACUAGGUUCUCUUUCCUUCAGAGAACUUCUAGCCUCGUGUCUUAGCUUUUCAACAAGACCAAUCCUGCUUGAAAUGGAGUUCUAUAACUCUAGAUAUAGUUAAAACUCCGAGGAGAGGUUGGACAGUAUCAGUCCAAUGUCUAGACAUUAACUAUUAGAUAGUAACAGUUGAAGAUUUAAACAGUAACAGUUCAAAUAUAAAGAAAACAAUGAUAACUAUGGUUGGACAAAGAAUGACAAUAUUAAUGGGUGUAAUGAGAAAAACAUAAAAUAUAAAGAAAUGACUUAAAGAAAGACUUAUUGGCUGUUGAUAUGGUUAUUAUAAAACAUAUCUUUGAGUGAGGAAAAUUUAUGAGAUAAACCUAUGAUUUGCAAGAGGGACCACAGGUGUGGUGCAACAGCAACAGUAGGGGAGCACGAGUAGAGCUUUCAUUGCAGGUAGGGGACUUUCACCUUCCAUUUAAAUAACAUCAAAUAAUGAAAUACUUUAUCAUGAAUGUUACCGUAUUGUGUUAGUUCAGAUAUCAGAUUGCCAAAUGCUUAAAUAUUGACAAACGAUUGAUUAGCUUCGGCUAAUGGUAUCCGAAUGAGUGAUCGGGACAAAUGAAUGAUUAGUUUCGGCUAAUGGCAUCUAAAUGGAUGACUGGGACAAACAAUUGAUUAGCUCCAGCUAAUGGCAUUCGAAUGGAUGACCGGGAUAAAUGAUCGAUUAGCUUCCGUUAAUGGCAUCUGAAUGGGUGACCGGGACAAAUGAAUGACUAGCUUCGGCUAAUGGCAAAGGAUGACCGGGACAAAUGAAUGACUAGCUUCGGCUAAUGGCAUCCGAAUGAAUGACCCGGACAAACGAUUGAUUAGCUUUGGCUGAUGGCAUCUGAAGUGGAUGGCCGGGGUGAGUGAACGGUUAACCUAAGAAAAUGUUGCCUUAGAGGAUAGCCGGAUUUAAGAUUAUAGCUGAUUGCAAGAAUUGGUGCAUCUAUAUGCACUACAAGUUGUUUAUACCAAGUACAUGAAGGAACUAUAAAUAUCACGUUUCAAACAUGAGAUAAUGUUAGUGCUUCAUUAAACUGUCAGUCCGUUUAUUAUCAUUAUAGAUAUUAAGUAAUUGCAUUCUUAUAAAUGAUUUGUACUGCAGCAGGGACAUCACACCAACGAGGUGCCUAGAAAACCCAAUACACGAGAACCUACUUUUGCAAGGAAUCAUGUAGUUGCAUUCUAAAUUAUGAUGUAUUUUGUAUGAAUCAAUGUACUGAAUGUAUAACUAUUAUUAGAUCCUUUUUGUUUAAAAUUCGUGAUGACAAUUAGUACGAUAGGAAUGCAAACUCAUAUCUAUGUAGGUAUAUUUUUAAUCUUCUAAUCUUGCAAACAUAAUAUUAUGUGUUUAUGUAAGAUUCACUUUUAAAUGCAAUGUUGAUUGUUGUUGAUGUAUGGAUUGUAUCUUGAUGAUGUGAGGGAACAGGUUCGUUGAUUACCGACACGAUGUGUGUCAAGUACAAAAAAAAAUACCAUUGUUUUGGGCUUGAAAAGCCGGGAUGUUACACCUUUCUUGUAAUCAUUUGGUCAUAAAGACUCUUGGUCUUUUCUUUGUAAAUCCCUGCAUUCUCAUAAGCAUCAUUUUGUAUCUCUUCCAACUCUUGCAAUUGCAACUUCCUUACAAUCCUAGUAGCAUCCUUAUCCGAGUUGCAUUGCUUUAUGACCCAAAAAGCUUUGUCUUCAAGCUCCACUAGUAAAUUACAUACUUUCCCAUAAAUCAUCUUAUAAGGUGACAUUUUUAAAGGUGAUUUAUAAGCAAUCUAAUAAACCCAAAGUACAUCACAAGUCGCAGACUCCAAUCUUGUCGGUUAGGUUGCACUGUCUUCUCCAAAAUGGACUUGAUUUCUCAAUUUGAAAUUUUAGCUUGGUCAUUUGUUUGAGGAUGAUAAGUUGUGGAAGUCCGAUGAGUCAUAUGGUACUUACGUAGUAAUGCUUCCAUUGAAUGAUUGCAAAAAUAAGUGCUACGAUCACUAAUAAUAGCUUUAAGAAUUCCAAACCUGUCAAAUAUGUGAGUCCUGAUAAAAUCUAAAUCAACCUUAGCAUCAUUAGUUCAUGUGGUUUUCACCUCAAUCCAUUUGGACACAUAAUCAACAGUAAGAAGGAUAUAAAGAUUACCAAAAGAAGAAAGAAAUGAACCUAUAAAAUUGAUACCCCAGACAUAAAAAUUUCACCUACAAGAAUAUUAGUUAAAGACAUUUGAUCUUUAUAUGUGAUAUUGCCAUUUCUUUGGCAUUUUUCACAUGAUUUGUAAAAGCGAUAUGCAUUCUUAAGAAUAAAAGGCCAAUAGAGACCAUUUUCAAGUACCUUGUGGAUUGUUUUGUUUUCUCUAAAAUGCCCACCAUAAGAAUGAGAAUGAUAAAAAGUGAGAAUGAAAUGAAAUUCAUCAUGUGGUACACAUCUUCUAACUAAUUGAUCCACAUAAAAUUUUCAUAUAUAAGGAGUGUCCCAAAAAUAAUAUUUAGCAUCAGCUCGUAACUUGUCUUUUUUGGAUUUAGACAAACCUAAAGGGAUUGCUGUGUUGACUAAAUAAUUCUCACCAAAUCAGCAUACCAUGGUCUUGUAGAGGAACGUAACAUAUACAAUUGCUCGUCUGAGAUGUCUCUUUUACUUUUUCGGUUUGUAUAUCCUUUGUCCGCAGUCAGCAUAAAUGAUCAGCUACAUGAUUCUCAACACCUUUUUUUUUAUCUUUAAUCUCAAGAUUAAAUUCUUGAAAGUAAGAUCCACCUAAUCAAUCUUGGUUUGGAUUCUUUUUUCUUCAAAAGAUAUCACAAAACUACAUGGUUGGUAAAAACAACAACUUUUGUACCCAAGUAAAUAAGACCUGGAUUUUUCUAGAGCAAACACCACUGCAAAAAGUGUUUUUUCAGUUGUAUGGUAAUUACAUUGUGCUUCAUCUAACAUGGGUUACAUUGUGCUUCAUCUAACAUGGGGGAAACAUAUGCAAUAACAUGCAAAUUCUUUUCUAUUUUUUGCCAAAGUACAACCCCCACCACAUAAUCACUCGCAUCAUACAUUAUCUUGAAAGGUUCAUCCCAAUUUGAUAGUUGCAUGAUGGGGGCAGAUGUGACACGCCUUUAAAGCUCAUUAUGGACAUCUGUACACGCUUGAUCAACACAUAAAAUCCACUUUUUGGCUAAAAAAUUACACAAGGGUGGUAGUCUUCGAGAAAUCUUUGACAAAACGUCGAUAAAAACCUGCAUGGAAGAAUAGAACAAACCUCCCUCACGUACGAGGGGUAAGACAAUGAUGAAAUAACAUCUAUUUUAGCUUUAUCUACCUCUAAACCACGCGAAGACAAUGAUGAAAUAACAUCUAUUUUAGCUUUAUCUACCUCUAAACCACGCGAAGACAUGACAUGCCCAAGAACUAUUCCUUGUUCUAUCAUAAAAUAACACUUUUCAUAGUUCAAGACAAGGUUAGUUUCAAUGCAUCUUUUCAAGACUAAAGAUAAAUUUUCUAAACAUUUAUCCAAAGAAUCAUCAUACACCGUGAAAUCAUCCAUGAAAAUCUCAAUUAUUCUUUCUACAUAGUCAGAAAAAAAUACUCAUCAUACAUCUUUAAAAAGUUGUGGGUGCAUUACAUAGACCAAAAUGCAUUCUCCUAUAUGCAUAUGUACCAAAUGGGCAUGUAAAGGUAGUCUUUUCUUGAUCUUCAGGAGUAAUAACAAUCUGAUUAUAUCCAUUAUAUCCAUCAAGAAAGAAAUAAAAAUACUUACCUGCUAGGCGUUCAAGCAUUUGGUCCAUGAAUGGUAAUGAAAAGUGAUCUUUGUAUGUAGAAAGGUUAAGCUUUCUAUAAUUAACACGUAUUCUCUAACCACUCAAGAUACGAGUAGGAAUGAGUUCAUCAUCCUUGUUCUUUACCAAUGGGAUUUUGGAAUUUUUAGGCACCACAUGGAUUGGCGCCACCCACUUACUGUCCGUGAUGGGGUAAAUGACUCCCGCAUAUAAUAGUUUUAAAAUUCUAGCUUUCACUACCUCCAUCAUUGAUGGAUUCAACCUCCUUUAUAUUUCGCUUGUUGAUCUCGCAUUGUCCUCCAAUAGUAUGUGAUGCAUACACAUUGAGGGGCUUAUGCCCUUGAUGUUGGCUAAAGUCUAACCAAUGACUGUUUUGUGAUCGCACAACAAUUUCACAAGCUUUUUCUCUUGCACACUUGUCAAACAUUUUGUUGUGAUAAUAUGGAGUGUAUUGUUGACACCAAUGAAUACAUACUUCAAAUUAUCAGGAAAAGGUUUCAAUUCUAACUCGGGUGACUGUAAAAUUGAUGGAAAAAGUUUUUUAUGUGAAAGUAUUAAAUCAACAAAAAAAUUACCAGAGGGGGCGGUUUGCAAAGCUUGCAAAGCCAAGGCUAAUUCUUGCACGUUUUGGGGAGCAUAUAUGUUCCUCUCCAUCUCCUCUAUUUUUGUAAAAUCAAUGCCAUGGCUCAAUGUCAUGUUUAAUCCGUUCUCGUAAUCAAAAUCACGAACUUGUUGCACACACUCAUCAAUUUGGUCAUGGCAUAUGAUAGAAUAAACAUUGUUGUAAGGAUACUUCAUUGGAUUAUGAAAGUUAAAUUCAAUUAUUUCAUCUCCUACUUCCAUAGACAAAUUGAUACUUCCAUUGGUCAUGGCAUAUCAAUUUUAGUGCUUGCAGUUUUCAAGAAUGGUCUUCCAAACAAAAUAGGAGUGUUGGUGUUUAAGGAAUUACGUUUCAUAUUAAGAAUAUAAAAGUUGCGUGGAUAACCAAACUAUCAAUCUUGACUAGGACAUCUUCUAUCACACCAAGUGGCAAGUUGCAUCACAACACUAGUUUUAACAAAGGCUCAAGACUAAGAGAAUCAUAAAUAUAUUUAGGCAUAACACUAAUGGAUGCACCCAAAUUAUAUAAAGCUCUUUUAAAGCUAGCAUUACCAAUAUAACACAUGGGAUAGUAAACGCACCUGGGUCUUUUUAGGCAUAUUCUUUUGAACAACAAUAGAUACAAUUUUACUUAUACUUAUUGUUUCAUAGACUUUUAGCUUGAAAGCUCUUUUGGUAGUAUACAACUCCUUCAAGAAUUUGACAUAUUUUAAUCAAAGGAAUGUUGAGUUUCAUUUUCUUAAAAAUCUCUAAAAUCUCUUUUUCUUUGUCCUCUUUCUUAGACCUAGAAGAACUCAAAGGAAAUGGAGAGAUUUUCCUGAAAUUGAAAUUCAUUAAGUUAAGACUUACCUUUGGAGUAUUGGUGGUUGUUUCAAUUUGUGGAGGAGUAGAUUGUUUCUUUUUUAUACUUAGUUUUAUUUCUAUCUCCUCCUCUUCCUCCAUCUUAAUUUGUUUCGACCUUUGCUUUUCAAGUUCUUUCCCACUUCGCAGCUUAAUCACACUUACAUUCUCUUUAGGAUUCAAUGCUUCGAAUGACAAUUUUCCAUUGAUUUGUGCUGUCAAUUUCUUUACACUUGAAACAAUUUUCCCCCAUUUACUUCUCAAAGUUGUGAAUACUUGACCUUGUUUCCUAUUGAAAAAACAUGACAUUUUUAUGUAAAGUCAUUAUGUUAGAAGCUAAGGUUUUCAUCAUCUAACGAAGAUCAUCACUCAAUGCCCCUAUAAAAUUGGAAUUUGUAAAUAUAGGUGGUUGUCUUGCUUGAUAAUUCUGUUAAGGCUGAAAUCUAUGGGGAUAAAAUUAUCUGUCUUGAUUGCCUUGUUGAGGUAGGUUCCCAUAACAUAAGUUUAGGUGAUACCUCAAUCCAGGAUUAUACGAGUUAGAAAAGGGAUUAUACUUACGCUGGGGCUGGCUAUUUAAUGCUUCAUCAACUGGAUUAGCUUGUUCAAUGUAAUCUUCUUGCAUUGUUGGGCACAUAUCCAAAGCAUGGCCUUAUAACGAGCAUAAGCUACAAACUUUUACUUGUUGUACAUUUUCAUAAGCCAAAGAAUGCAUAAGAGAAGUAAUAUCAUUAACUUUAUUCUUAAGGUUAGCAAUACCUACCUCAUUUACUCGUUUGCUUGGGAAGUCUUCAUGUGUGUUAAAUUGUUUUGAGUUGGUUGCCAUAAUUGAGAUCAAUGUGCAUACAGCUUCUGAUGUUUUAUGUAUCAAUGCCCCUCCACUUGUCGCAUCAAUGAUAUUGCGAUCAGUAGACAUCAGUCCUUCGUGGAAGUAUUGAAUGAGUAGUUGAUCGGGUAUUUGAUGAUGAGAACAUUGAAUGUACAACUGCUCAAAUAUUUCCCAAUACUUGGAAAGUGUUUCCCCAAGAGAUUGUUAAAUCCUACAUAUUUCUUUCCUUUUAUUGGCAACUCAAGAGGCCGAGAAAUACUUCUGCAGGAAAAUCUUCUUCAUGUCAUUCUAAGUUGGCGUUGUUGUUGAUGUUUAUGCAUAAUGGUUGAUUCUCCAUGUUGGGAACAACAAGCUCUUUGAGUGUCCAUUGUCGGGCAAUAACCAUGGUGUUGAUGCGGGCUUCCUUUCAUAACCUGCGUAAAGUGUUUUCUAUUUCGAGAUCUACAUGCACUUGUUCUUUGGUAGUAAAUCAAGUUACAGACAUAAAUAGUCAAGAAAACUUAAAUAAACUAAAACAAAUCAACCACGAGAGAGAUUAAAGUAGUACAAGUAAAUGAAAAUCCAACGCUAAAACAUAAAAACCCUAGAAAACAAUGGAAUUUUUCCUCGAGAGGGUGGGCUCGUGGCUAAAAGCCACUAGUCCUGCUCAGAAUGUCAUUUUGCUUCUGGAAACGAAAUGUUGAAGCCUAAUUCCAUAAAAAAAAUUCAAUUUGAACAGUAUCGCAACACUGUUUUCAUUUCUAUUUAUGUUUUUUGUUUUUUUAUUCUAUUUUCUUUUGAAUAAAAUAAAUAACAAUCAUUGCACAAGAAUUAACUAGAAUCACUUCACCGGCAACGACACUAAAAUUUGUUGCAAUGUCGCGGUUACACAAAUUAAUUACCCUAGCUUAAACAAACAAGAUAAUAUAGAGCAAGUAAGAGGUUGAUCCCACGAGAAAGAUCUAGUUCAAGUCUUUAUACUGGAUGAUUCAAAGUUGGGGGGUUUUGAGAUUAUCAAAGCUAUGCUAUGGUAAACAAAAUAAAACAAUUAAGCUAAAUUAAAUAAAUCCAAAACUUAUCAAGAGAAAAACCUCGGUCUCAAGUAAAUGUCCACCUACAAAAAUCAAAAUGAUCACUGAAACGAUACAUCAUUUUAUAUUCUGAAUAUUCAUAUUUCCUUAACAUUAGUUAGUUAACUGAUCCGCAAUUUAACUAACCCUAAAUUAAACAAACAUAGUGUCUGCACUAGUAAUUUAAUUUAAUGGCAACCAUAAGAACUAGAUAGGUUGAUAAAUCUUAAACAACAUAAUUGUUUGCAUUAAUAUAUUGUUGAUUUAGUUUAAUUUUUUCCCUAAAAUUAACAACAUGGAUCUGCUAUAAUUAUUAAAUUUGUCGUUUCACAAGUUCAAAUAUCAUAACUCUGGUUUUGAUAGCAAACUUAGCAGUAGAUUGGUUUAUAAUAAUAAAUUAGAGUUCGCUCCAACAAUCAAACUAAACAAUAAUUGGAAAUAAACAUAAGAAAAUAUUCAUACUCAUCAUAUAAACUAAAAAGAAAAGAUCGAAUAGAUCUCAUAAUUUUUAAAAUCUGAAGGUUUCUGUAUCCUUUCAACAAAAAAAAUAACUUAUCCUUGCAUGUCUAUUGAAAAACUAAUGAAUAGAACAAACGAGAGCAUAAUUUCGGGUAUAGGAGAAAAUGGUGGAGUUUUCUUCUUUUUUCUGGUCGCCUCCCCUUUUUCUUUCUCUCUUUCUUUUUAUUUGAUAGGAAACCCUCAUUCCCACAUCUGUCCAAUCCAUUUGUAUUCUCUUAAAAAAUAUAAAAAUAAUCCUUUCCAAAGUAAAUAAUCUACAAUUAAGUAAGUUGGAUUUGUUUCUUCACAAAACCUGUCUGCUAGUAGAAUUUAUAGGUUGUCUUAGAAAAUCAUAUUUCUUUCAUAUGAGCUCUUUGUUUGCUGAAAUUUGGUAGGUUGAUAGGUCUUUGAGUUAGGAAUCUAACAAAAUUGAGUUUGCAUCAAAUAGACGUCUCUAACCCAAGAUAUUCGAGUCAGAAUGGACGAUGAUCAAAACUGGCAGAAUACGAGACUUGAUUUUGAAGGCUACGAUUUCAAUCCUUUUUCUUUUUUAUUUUUCUUGCCAUAUAUGUAUAGAAAUGAAUGGAUGUUAGCUUUACUGGAGUCACUUUAUUUUGACCUUUGCAACUCAAGUUCUGAAUAAAACAUCAAUCAGAUAUUAUCAAGGCAUAUGGUCUGAAUUUUAUCUCUAAUUUACUUCUUUUUGAAUCUCACAUCCAAAAGUAUCUUCAAAACAUAAAAUAAAUAUUAUCAAGGUGUUUUAUAUAUAAAACAUGAACAACAUACUAAGUAAAUAUGGAUAAAAUUAUCGAAUAAUAUAAUUGCAAGUUUAGAUACUAUAUAGUAAAUACUUAUUUUUCGGUAACUAACUACGUGUUUCUGUCAACUUAAAGCAACCUAAGUUAGGGGGGAAGAUUAAAGUCCCUGAUACAAAUCUCCCGAUUCUAAAGUUAUCUUCUCUAUUUUUUUUUACUUCUGUUAAUGUGGAUUUGUGAAUCUCCAAAUUUAUAUGAUCUAAAAUCUUGUUUCAGUCUUAUAAUGUGUGCUGAGUUCUCUGAACUACAAGUGGUUUGCUGGUCUAUGGGUGCUUGAACUGCAAGGACAAUUCAAUUUCAAUAAGAAUAUAACAGCCAAUUGAAGUUAUGGUGUUAUUCAGUUUAUCUACAUAUGAUUAGUUUACCAAAUAUCCUCGCAGAAUUCACUAAAAGCAUUAAGUGGAUCUGAAUCUCAUAAAUUUAAUGGUUGAAAUCUUUUGAGGAGAGAAUUUUUGGAAUCAUAUUUGGUAAGAUUAGCCAUUUGCCCCCUAAUAAUAGUAGCAUUUUAGCGCAGUCGUACCUUUCCUUUAGAACACUUGAAGUGACUUGUACUGUUCAUGAUUACAUUUGUUGGAGGUUAACUCUUACAUGAUAGAUGAUGGCCUCUAUGUAUUUCUUGUGAAAAUGAUCAGAAUAUUUAUGCCAGCCAUGACCUUGAAGGCCAUGAUCCUCUUUAGGCAUUUUGUUAAUUGUCUGUGCGGCAAACAACUGGUUAACCUGAUGAGCCUUUAUCCAAGGAGCUACUCAUAUGAGGUGCUAUUCCAAGAAACUGAAUUGUCAUAUUUCAUGACAUGAAAAAAAUAGUCGAGGUACUAAAAACUAUCUCAUUCCAUUACUGAUGGUUGUUUCGUUCCACUCGGAGCCAUUAUGGUUUGCAAUUUUGAGCAGUUAUGUGCUCAAAUAGCCUCACCGUGGGAGUCCAUCUAAUCCAAUAUUUCUUGUAAUAUAUAUAGGCUGAGCAGUUAAUGAUCCAUAAUGGGCAGUAGAAGAUUGUGGCAAACUGGAAGCUGCCUAAGCAUGUGAUCCAUUGGUGGUUAAAGGUUCUCGACUUGUUAAUCAUUCAACAUUGAAGCCCAUGCCGGGUUGCUAAUAUUAGGGGGAAUGGUGUUGCAUGGAAUGUGAUGAACCUCAUGUUUAUCAUAUGGAAGUAGACACCAAGGAAAAAGGCCCUUUCUACCUCAUCUAACAAACAAUGGCCCUUCUAUAUCUUGAAAUACUAAGAUUUAAUUAACACUGAAAAAAACAAGGGGUUUGGUCACACAACCUACUUUAAUCAGGGAUUUGUAAAAGUAAAAGACCAGCCUCAAGGCACAAAGCAAAGGAAACAACCCUCUCCAAACCACGUAGUUUAGUAAUUUCCACCUCUCAUAACACGAGAAUUCAUUUGUUUAGCGUUCCUUUUAGGCACUACUUGUGCAGCUAAAUAAUGCAGCUAGGUAAUGCUGUAAUUGCUAUCUUGCUCAUAUCCAUAAUAUCUAAGUUAACAAAAGGAAAUUCAAUACUUUAAGGAGUUCUGAACAAUCUCACAACUGCCUCAUCAUUAUCACCGUGGCUGAAGAAAGCAAUGAACCAUGAUCCUCGACCACAGCCCCUAGGGUGCUGGAGCAUGCCGUGGAGAUGUAGAGAGGGACUACAUCCACCUCCAGCUCGAAUGCGGUGUUGUAGAAACCAUUGAGUUGAUGUCUUUUUGGAUGUUAAUAAUUGCGGUUUCUGCGGAAUUAGAUGCCCUUUUACUUGGCAAUGUUGCCGUGAAUUCUGUGUCGAUACAAAUCGUAGCCCGUUUAAUUGUGGCAGAUGCGGAAAAAGAUGCCCCUGAAGGGUCCGCUGCGUUUAUGGGAUGUUUGGAUAUGCUGUUCCAUUUCCUCCACGGAAACUUCCUGAUCCACCUAUUCCUCAUCCUCCUUUUCCAUUUCCUCAUAGACCACCAAAGCCAUGGCCGCCUCACCAUCCCGGGGAAGAUCGGCCAUGAUGUAAAGCUCCCUAGUUCAACCUCUCGUUGAAUUGAACAGGAACUAAGAAUAAUUAAUAGCAUAGAAUCUCUCUGUAAGGUAAUCACUCCGAAUUCUAUUUAAUAGAAAGAAUAGUUUCAAAAACAAAAUGUACUCUUGUUUGUUCUGUUCUCCUUUCUAAAUACCCUCUACCUAAGAAAUUAUAAUUCAAUACGUAAACUAAUCAAAUCCUAAUUUGUCUAGGAACUAACAGCUAACUAGGAUAAACUCUACAGCUAAUAAGUUUAUAACAGGUUUUCCUUAUUCCGCAAGUCUCUUAUAUCUGGUAAACUUUGUGGUUUAAAGUUCACCUUCCUCUGCCUUGUGAUUUGCAUCAUUUGUUGUCUCUCUUGAAGAACUUGACUCCGGCAAGUUAUGAUUAACAUAUGCGGUAAAUAAUUCGGGAUGUAGUUGCUGGAGCGCAGUUCCUUUGAUCCAAGCUGAGUCUGAAGUGGAUCGAUGCUUCCAGUGGACUAAGAACUUGUAGUAUCCCCCACGACGUGUAGAGACGAACUGGUGAUCAAUGAUGGCGGCAACUUCAUCUUGUGGGGCGGUGGUUGCUGGAAGUUUUGGGAUGGAGGUUGGCAUGCCCUUUGUCUGUGAACUUCCAGCCACAUCUAUUGCAUCACCUUUAAAUAUCGUAAUGUCCUCAAUAUUAAAAAUUGGUGAAAUACCGAAGUCAGAAGGUAGGUCUAUAACAUAUGCAUUGCUACCCAACUUCUUAGUAACUCGAAAGGGACCAACACGUCGUGUAUGUAACUUGGUGAAACUUCCUGAAGGAAAACGUUCUGGUUUUAGAUGAACAAGUACCAUAUCACAACUGUUAAAUUGUUUGUCCUUACGUCUAGCAUUUACAGAGGCUGCAUAUGAUUCGGUACUAAGGGAUAAAUGUCGCCUUACCUCGGCAUGAACAUCUUUCAUAUAUUCUGAAAAGUCAAGACUAGUUGCGCUUGGUCUAGGAGGUAAUGGUAAUGGCUGGAGGUCCAGGAGAGUAUAAGGACGCUUGCCAUAUAUUACCUCAAAAGGUGUGUGCCCUGUAGAUCUAUUCACAGAAUUGUUGAUAGUGAAUUCUGUUUGUGGCAGUAUAAGAUCCCAGCUGGUGGUAUGAUCAACGAUGAGGCAGCGUAGUAAAUUGCCCAGGCUUCGGUUGAGUACUUGAGUUUGACCGUCAGUUUGGGGGUGGAAUGUACUAGAAAACAUUAAUUUUGUCCCCAAUUUUGUCCAUAGGGUUUUCCAAAAAUAACUAACAAAUUUGACAUCUCUAUCAGAUACAAUAGAGAGUGGUAACCAAUGCAACCGAAUCACUUCUUGUAGAAAUACCACAGCUACCUUUGAAGCGUCAAAGGUCUUGUUGUAGGGGAUAAAGUGAGCCAUUUUUUAAAAUCGAUCGACUACUACCAUGAUUGAAUCAUGCUGUCGAGCAGUCCUGGGUAGUCCUAGCAUGAAAUCCAUGCUAAUAUGCUGCCACGACUGAUCAGGAACUUGAAGGGGUGUGUAGAGUCCGGCUUGUUGUUUAGUUCCUUUGUUUUGUUGGCAGAUCAUACACCGAUCUACCAUUUUAUGCACAUCUUUAAGCAUUCGAGGCCAAUAGAACCGAUUGGCAUUUAUGGCAUAAGUCUUGUCAUAGCUAAAAUACCUAGCCAAGCCGCUGCCAUGGAGUUCUGUUAUGAUGAAUUCCCUGAAGGACCCCUUGGGAAUGCAUAGCCUAGUGCCAUAAAAUAAAUACCCAUCCCUUACAGAGUAAUCACCCCCAGUUACAGUAAUCCUGGACUGUAAUUUAUCCCAUAUUGUGCCAAAGUCUUCAUCAUCAGUAUACUGGUCUGUUAUCGCUGCAAGUCCAGGAGAAUGGGCUGAGAAAAUAUGUAGCAAAUGUGGUCGUCGACUUAAUGCAUCAACCACCUUAUUCUCUAUUCCAGACUUGUGCCUAAUAACAAAAUCAAAUUGUUGCAAAUAAUUCAUCCAGCAUGAAUGCCUCGUAUCGAGCUUGCUUUGAGAGUUCAGGUGUUUCAAAGAGUCAUGAUCCGUAUAAAGGAUGAAUUCUCUAUGGAUUAAGUAGGGACGUCGAUGCUUAAUAGUUUGAAUUAAUGUAUAAAAUUCCAUGUCGUAUAUUGAUACCUCCGCCGAGUAUUAUUAAGCUUCUCCCUAAAAAAGGUAAUAGGAUGACCGUCCUGACUUAGGACACCUCCAAUUCCUAUUUGUGAAGCAUCACACGCUACUUCAAAGAUUUUAGAGAAGUCUGGUAGCUUCAAAACUGGUGUUUGUCCCAACUUCUCCUUAACCUCCACAAAAGCUUUGUUGGUUGUGGUUGUCCAGGUGAAGAUUCUGCCUUUUAAACACUCAAUUAUUGGGGCCAUGAUAGUGCUAAAAUGUCAAAUGAACCUUCAGUAAAAUGGUGCGAGACCAUGAAAGCUAUGAUCCUCAAACACGGUGCAAGGUGUCGGUUAAUUUUGAAUAGCUUGCACCUUGGUGGGAUUAACUCCAAUACCUUUAUCAAAGAUGAUGAAGCCUAAGAAAUAGACUUUCUUCUUCAGGAAUGAACACUUGGUGUGAUUAAUAUAGAGUUGUUAUGCCUUCAAGGUAGCCAAGACAUGUUCAAUAUGAGCUAGGUGAUCCUGCAAACAGUUACUGAAGAUUAAGACGUCGUCAAAAUACACAACAACACAUUUACCUAAGAAUGGUUUGAGAAUGUGAGCUGCAGCUAGAGUGAGAAUGUAGAGAGAGAUGCUCUUCUUCAUUUUGAAAUUUUUCUCCUCUAGGUGGCGCCCUGCAGCUCCUGCGUCCCGAUUGACGUCUCUUUCUUCCCUGACCAUUUUUGUGGCCAUCUAUGGCAAGCGAUCAGCGUCUCUCCUCUUCGAUUCAAUAGAUUCGAACCCAUGAAGAGACUAUGUGCCAUCUGGCUUUGUUUGUGGCAUCUGAAGCUCUCGCUGUAUUCGAUCCCUAUUUUCUCAAGCAGUAUUCAAAUCUUCGGUCUAGGGUUGUGCGAUCUCCCAACCCUUAAAAGUGUGCUCUGGUAGCAGCUAGUCCGGAUAUUGGCCUUUUGGUUGAUACUCCUUCCACCCUAGUAGGCGCCUCUGCGGUGGUUCGUCCCUGGCCUCUACCAUGGCGUUUGUCGCUGCUUGUAUUUGCGGGAUCUUUUGUCUACCCAGUCUCUCCACCAACUCAGGUACUCUCUCUGUAUCAAUGAUUGGGCUUUUGCAUCACUGGGUUCACCGAUCUAGGAGUGGUAGGUAUUGCCCUAUCUCUCCCUUCUGUUUUCUGGUGGUGUUUGUUUGGGGGACCAGAGGUUGUUCUUCUGGUUCCAAGGCCAGUCUCCUGUGAUGCUGGUCUUCUUGGCUAUGUUGUGUUGCAAUUUUGGAUGUAUUGGGUUUGUGUAGCUAUCUGGUAUCGGUGGCUACUUUUAGCUGCGGGGGGUGCCUCCCCGUUCUGGAUGUUUGUUGUUGGGAUUCUUCUUUGUGGCUAGCUAAAGUUAUGCUGGCCUUGUUGUCUUGGGUCUAUUGUUGUCUCCUGAUACAUGCAAUUAGUAGCAGCUUUGAUCCUCUCUGAUUGCUAGAGCUGUUUGUGGUCCUUGACUGCCUGUUGCUUCUGGCUUAUGAUCGUUUGGCUUGUGGGCUGUUUGAAGGAUCUCUCUCAGGGUUCUCUGGAUUGGCUCUUCUGCCCUAGCCCUGGGUAUACUUGCUUGUGCUUGUUGUUUGAGCUAUCUGUCUCCUGGAGCUUUUACUUGCUUCAGUUCUGUGUUAUAUGUUGGCCCUCUUGGGCUGGUCUCGGUUGCUGCUCUAUGCAGCCUGGAUUGCUGCUAUAUACAGCUCUGUUUGCUGUUUGUUGUUCUGCCGCUCAAGGGACUCUGCAUUUGCCUAUGGGAGUGCAGGUUGCGGAUGACAUUCAUUGCUGGAAUGGUUUUGCUUAUUUGGGUUUCUUUACUGGAGUGGUCUUCUUUGUUGCUGCCAUAUGCAGCUUGAAGUUCUCUUUGAUUGCAUAUGCAAUUGAAGAUUUGCUGGAAUAUGUCCUUGACCUGCAGGUUCUCUGCAGAUUGCUUGUGAUGUGUUGAUAACCCUCUUGGGGCUGGUCUUGUUAUUUGCUCCAGUCUGCCUCAGUUUCUUGCGGGUUCUGGCUGGUUGGCCUGGGCCUCCUUGCUGGUAGUGGCUGGCUUGUGUGUGCAUAUCAAGCUAAUUCAGCUGUGGGUCUUGGUCACUCUGCAGUUUAGUUUUGGCUGCCCUUUUCUUGGGCUCUUAUGGAGACUGCUCCCACUAUGCUCUCUUUGUUGAUGCUCUGGAUCCCAUCAGUUUGGGUGAGGCUCUCUCCCCAAUUGCUUAGGCUACUGAUGUAGAGUUCUCUGUCGCAACUCUGCUAGCAUGCUGGUUCGAUUGAAGGAUAUUGAGGGAUCUUUCAUGCUUCAGCUCACUUCUAUGUGCUAGAUGGAGACUGUUUUAGUAUCAACCAAGUUAAUGUUGUGGUACAGACUUGGUCUUCUAGAGAUGAUGUGCUGCUGGUUCACUACUCUUGAGUUGCUUGGUAAAGAGCUCUGUUUGGGUGAGGGUCUCUCCCCAAAUGCUUUGUCCUCUAGCCUGUUACCAUUCUGGAGCAGCUGGUUCGCUUGGUUGCUGCUAUAUGCAGCUUGGUAUGCUGUGUUUCUUGAAGUUGGUUGGACGCUUUGCUUUUUGAAGCUGGCUGGUCUAAUGGGUGCUAGAGCUAUUGUCUCUGGCUCAUUUUUGUUGCUUGUCCUUUCGCUAGCUUUGGUUGGUGGAGGGUUGAUCUUAAUGGAUGUUGUCCUACAUGAGAGAUGUAAUGACAGUGUGGCUUGCUCUUGUGUGGGUCUGUUGUUGCCUUGGUUGCAGGUUUGCUGCUGCUGGGCUUUGGUUUAUUGACAAGUUUGAAGCUCUUUAUCUGCCAGAGGUUGAUGGCAGUUGGAGCUAAUGUGUAGGCCCUGUUGUAUUGGGGAUCAAUUUAGGUGAGGCUCUCUCCCCAAUGCUUUGAUCUCCCCAGAUGCUCAGUCCUUUCGGCAUUGGUGUCUGGAAGCCAUGCCUCUAUAGUGCAUCGUUGUUGGCCUACUGCUGCUUGGUUGCUUAGGGCUGGCCUUUGAUGCUGUACUAGAACAGGUUGCUGCUGGGGUUUGUUGUUGAUGUUCUGCUCCUCGGCUCAGCUGCUGCUGUAGCGUGCUGUCUGCUCGGCUGGAAGGAGUUUUGCUGCUGGUUUUUGGGUCUCCUAGCUGCUGUUUUCAUUGUAUGCUAGUUUGUUUUGCCUUAUGGCUUUGAUGCAUGUUCAAGGGAGCCUGUUCCCUUUGACUCUAGGUCGAUCCAGGGAGCCUGUUCCCUUUGUCUAUUCAAUAAGCCUAUCUUGCUUUUGGUUUGUACAAGGGAGUCUGUUCCCUUUACCUCCUGUUCAGCAAGCUUGUCUCGCUUUUGAUUUGGUCAAGGGAUUUUGUUCCCUUUUCCUUGUAUUGCUGGUCUCCAGGUCUUUUUGAUCUAUACAAUUCUUACAUUUGAUAAAAAAAAAAAAGAAUGGUUUGAGAAUUUGCGUCAUAGCACGCAUGAAAAUACUCAGUGCAUUGGUUAAUCCGAAGGGCAUGACUAGCCAUUCGAAUAGGCCUUCCUUUGUUUUCAAGGUCGUCUUCCAUUCGUCACCCGGAUGGAUACGAAGUUGAUGAUAUCCACUGCGAAGAUCAAUCUUUGUAAACACAGAGGCGCCAUUUAAUAAAUCCAACAUGUCAUCAAGUCACGGAAUGGGGAAUCGAUAUUUUAUCAUGAUUUUGAUUAUUGCUCAGUUGUCUACAUACAUCCUCCAACUCCCAUCUUUUUUUUUUGUGUGAGUAAUACUGGGAUGGCGCAAGGGAUAAGGCUCUCCUGGAUGAAUCCCCUGUCUAGUAGAUGUUGAACCUAUCUAUUAAGUUCCUUAUUCUCUACAAGACUCAUCAUGUAAUGGGGUAGAUUGGAUAAGGAUGAUCCUGGAAUGAGAUCAAUAGCAUGUUGGACGUCCCGCAUAUGUGACAACUGGUGUGGCAUUUCAUCGGGCAUGAUGAAUUUCUCUAGUAUUGUUGUCAGCUCUUUGGGGACUAAGCCAUCAUUUUGUUUCACUCCCCGUCUUACUACAAAUAACAGCAUGUGCUCUCUGCUUAAGGUUUGGGAAAAUUGGUGCAUGAUCAGUAUUGGAAUCUUUUUGCUGGUUGUUUCAAAGUUUGAAAUUGGUAGUGGUACUAACACCAACUUCUUACCCUUAUAUUGAAAAUAGUAGGUAUUGGUGUAACUGUUAUAGGAGACCUUCCGGUCGUAAAUCCACGGUCGUCCCAAUAACAUUUGGCAAACAGUCAUACGGAUGAUGCCGCACUAUGCUUCAUCUACAUACUCAUGUCCCAACGAGAAUUGUACUAAACAUUGAUGUUUCACUGAGAUUGAGUUGUUUUCAUUGACCCAACUUAUUCGAUAAAGAGAAGGGUGUUUUUCACUCUUCAGAUUCAACCGUUCUAUUGCUGUUUUCGAGAUGACAUUCAUGUCGCUGCCAUUAUCAAUUAUUACGUUCAGUGCUCUGUCCCCAUGUUCUAAUCGGGUGUGGAAGAUAUUGGUGCGCAGCCAUUCGUGAUUUGCAUGGAGUUCUUUUUUAUUUCCAGAUAAUACUCAACGAAUAACACAGCUUGGCAGUUCCGAGGCACCCAGGUGUUCCUCCUCCUCAUGUGUAGACUAUGUCGCUUCUCCUUCCUUAGCUUCAUUCAUUAUUGUCAAUUCCUUUUCGCAUAUAAAAUCAAGUUUCUUAUCUCUUGUGGGACACACCACAUCAUAGUGUCCAAACCCCUUGCAUUUGUAACACUGUGAGCCAUCAGUUGCAGCUUUUUUUUUCCUGUUUUAUUCUCCUAAUCAUGAGCCCCUUGGUUAGUCCACUGGUAUUUAUGGUUCUUGCUUGGAAAAGCUUGUUGUAUGCCCUGUUUUUAAGUCUAUUAGCAUGGUUUUCUUCCCACUCAUAUUCUCUAGCUGCUUCUCCACACGUAAUGCCAGUUGAUAUGCCUCUUCCACAUUGAUUAGUCGUGUGAUCAACAUUUCCUUGUAUAGUUCACCACGUAAUCCAUUGCGAUAUCGAGCUAAUAUUUGUUGGUCUGUCUCCAUAAUUCAACUACGAACAGUUAAUUCAUGGAAACGAUUUGUUUAUUGGUCCACUGUUAAGGAGCCCUGCCUUAGUUGUAGCACUUCUUCAAACAUCAUUUGUUCAUAAUCAAUGGGUAGGUAUUUUUCCUUUAGUUGUUCUUUCAUCUCUUUCCAAUCUGAAACUGCUGGGCGCCGGGUACGCCUUAGUUGUUCUUCCACGCUUCCCUACCAAGCUCGUGCAUGCCCCUUCAACUUUAACCUGACAUAUCAGGCUUUACGGUCUUCUGAAACGACGAACCAGUAGAAAUAAUCCUCAAUGGCUGUUAACCAAUCUUCAAAAGCAUGCGGGUCUAGUUUGCCAUAGAAGUUGGGUUCAUCCUCCUUCAUUCUCUUGGUGAGUUCGUUGAUGGGUUGAUUGUCCGGUAUUUGUCUGUCACAGAUACGUGGGAAUUCCUCUCUGUGUUGUUGAACCCGAUGGUGAUGGGGUUCGAAAUCUCUGACAACUUCAGCUUCCAAGUCCUCCCUACCAAUCUUAUGAUCUCCAUCCAGUGAUUCCUCACGGGGUUGGCCACGUCCCCUUCUAUUGGGAGAUCUUACCCCCUCUCGUGCCUGUCGCUCAUCCAUAACAUCCAUUCGGUUAGAAAGUUGUUCUAACAUAGUGGUGAUAUAGGUGAUUUGCUGCUGUAAUUCUGUAUGUUCACGCGGGGAAUUGCUAGGAGCAUGGUUGUUCUACAUGGUAUAUGAUUUACCGCUUCGGGUUACAGUCAUGAACAACUCUGAUUCCAAAUUGAUGUAAAGCUCCCUAGUUCAACCUCUCGUUGAAUUGAACAGGAACUAAGAAUAAUUAAUAGCACAGAAUCUCUAUGUAAGGGAAUCACUCCGAAUUCUAUUUAAUAGAAAGAAUAGUUUCAAAAACAAAACAUACUGUUAUUUAUUCUGUUCUCAUUUUUAAAUACCCUCUAAGAAAUUAUAAUUCAAUACGUAAACUAAUCAAAUCCUAAUUUGUCUAGGAACUAACAGUUAACUAGGAUAAACUCUACAGCUAAUAAGUUUAUAAUAGGUUUUCUUUAUUCCGUAAGUCUCAUAUGUCUGGUAGACUUUUUGAUUUAAAGUUCACCUUCCUCUGCCUCCUGAUUUGCAUCAGGCCACCUUCUAUGAGUGAAGAUCUUAAUUAACUUAUCUUUGUCCAACAUGUUUUCUUAUUAGGCAUUGAAGAUCUUAAUUAACAUAUCUUUCUGUUGAACUUGCCUAUUCUUUGGGGUAUAAUUUUGCAUGCCCGUAUAAUCCCUUAGGUCCCGCAUGUUCAUGCAUGUUGUGUUUUCGUUUCAAAUUUUUAAUGAAGGGUUAAUCUCUUCUUGUUUUAUAUUUAAGGACGUAAAUAUGGGAGAGAAUGUGGUAGGGUCUUGCUUUUCAGAAAGUUUAAUGUCAUUUAAAUAUUCUUGUGAUACCAUAGAAGUUAAUUCAGUAAUUGUCUUUAUAAUAUAUAACUAGUAAUAUAUAUUUACAAGGAUUUUAAUAUAAUCUGAUCAUGUGGUUUUCUAUUGCAAGAAAUACUAGUUUGGUAACCAUAUUUAUGCGGUUUGUGAUUGCAUUCGUAUGUUCUGCUUCUAACCAAAUCACCAAAGUUUCGAGCAUGCAAGCAGAUCGGAGAAAAUAAAAGAAAACAAAAAACGAGGAAGGAUAACAUUUUUUCCAAGUUUGAUUUGAUUAAUUAAAAUGCAAUUCUAAAUUCACUGCUAAUUUUCAAAUGCUAGUAAGAAGAAGUUAUUUAUAAUUCCCAAUUAAACGGGGCUAGAGUCUUGACUUUAUAAUAUAGAAAGUUCCUUAUUAAGACUACAAUUGAUUUUGUUUUUUCAUUUAGGAUGCAAAAUGAGGCAUCCAGAUUACAAACGGAUGAUAUUAGGGCCAUGUAUCCCUAAAUGAACCUGGAUGAUAUUAGGGACAUGUAUUUCUAAGUGGACCUUGGAUAAACACUCCAAAGAGAAGUUAUGAUAAUAAUAAUAAAAAAAAGUAUAUUGAAGCUCAAAUAGGCAACUCAACCGAGCCGAGCCUCACCUCAAGCUCGGUUGGGCCACGGUCCAACCAAGCUACUUUAGCUUGGUUGGGCUGCUGAGCUACCCUUCUUUAACUCUCUCUACACUCUCUUACUUAUUUUUUAUCUCUCCUUUCUUUUUCUUUCUUUUCUUGGUUAGGUUCAAUUGAGCUCCACGAAACUUGGUUACGUUGAGGCCUAACUGAGCUCGAGUUUCAGUCUAAUUGAGCUAGCUCACCUCGGAUUACUAUUCAUCAAUAGCAAUAUGCAUGGUAUUAUUCAUGAAUAGUAUUUUUUCACCUAUAUUUCUUCAGAUAUUUUAUAGAUAUUUUCCAAAACUAUAUAUUCUCAAGUUUUGAGAAAGAAAAGGAGGAUUCAUUAGAAACAACACCACAUAAAGAACACGCAUCUCUUCUCUACACACAAAAAACACAUUCCAUCCACUUGAUUUUUUGCAUGUUUGUUACUUGAUCAAAAAAAUCAAAUAUUGUCUUAAGUAUUAAAGUGUGUCUUGUUCCAUGAGGGACUUGUUUUGCAGGAUCAACCAGGCCCAAAACUCGUUAGCCAGGGAAAGUUUAUUUUUCUGUGAAGUUUUUCCACUAUUUCAUUAGUGGCGCUAUUUGUGUGAACUUGAAAAAAAAGCUUGUUCAUUCCGUUUUAACCUCUAAAAAAAAUAUUUCAUGGCUGAUAAGACUCUAGUACAUUAAAGAUUAACUGGUCUUUCUACAAGAUUUUAGUUCCCCUAGGUAUCCAAAAAUUAUCCCAACAAGCGCAAGUACUCAACAACGUUAUUCUAGCCAUACAGGAACAACUUCAUUCUUUUCAGUAUAGCCAAUAAUAAAGUCAACCCACAACUCUAGGUGUACAAAGACAACUUUAGUUUCAGGAAGAAACUGCACAAAACAACAUGUCAAAAAGACUCCAUACUCUAACUCUCCAAAUGAGCCAACACUCCCCAGCAAAUUCAAGCCAUAAACGAGUCUCAAUUGUGUCAUUCACAUGCUCCCUAUCAUAAAAAAACCUAGGUAUGACGUGCACGAGACUGCACCAACCCCAACUCCUACACGCCAUUCUUAUUACGUGGAAGAGUCUCCACUUUGUCACAUUGUUAUACACUCACGUCACUAAGGAUUGUGUCAUUUUUAAAGCCAACUUAGAAAAUUAUGAUGGUCUUAUAGAUCCCAAAGGGCACGUACAAAAUAUUAUAAGCAUCCUAAAGCUAGUGACAACAAAGAGUGAUGACAUAUGCAAGAUUUCCCCUACAACUUUUCUUGGAUUUACUAGGGUGUGGUAUUAUAGCCUUAAACCUAGGUCUUCAAGAAAAUUAUAUGAAGCUUGUCUUUUAUUUUAGCACAAACUCUCUUUUUAAAAAGAGCACUACAAAGCUCUUUGUCAUCACAUAACGAGAUGAUAAAAACACAAAGGUAUAUCUCUAGAUAUUAAACAAAGAAAUACUUAGAAUAGAGGAUCUGUUUGAACCCAUCACCAUUGAAGCCCUAAUAAUUGGAGCCUACAACUAUUCAUUAUAGGAAAGAUUAUAUACAUUAGCUGAUAAAAAUCUUUUUAGCAUCAAACACGUGAUCAAGAGUUAUAUUGGGGUAGAAGAAGCUAGCAUGACUAGACAAGGUUAGCCACGCUUCCACAUAUAAGAAGAGUCUUUACCAUACCAUCAAUCUCCAACAAGAGCAUUUAUAAAAGCACCAAGAGGCACAUGCAUGAUCUCUAACAUUCAUCGAGCACAUGACCACACCUCUCAUAAUGACACAUGCUUAUGUGCUGGUUUCUAUAAAUGGAAAAGACUCCAUGCAAUACCUACCUCCAAUGAAAAGUGGUUUUAACUCAAGAACCUCAAAAAAUUGUCUCUUUUACCAUGAUCAUGGACACGACAUAAAAAAAUAUCAUGCAUUCACAAAAGAGAUAGAAAGAUUGAUCUCCAAAUGGUACCUUUAAUAAUUUGUGAAUAAGAUACAAUAUGAACAAACAGGAAACAACCUUAGUGAUAUACCAUGUUAGAUAAGAUAAAUCUUAGAAAUUAUAUCUCCAACAUCUUUUGAAUUAAAAAAAUAGUGCAUAUUCAUGUCUCCAAACAUGAAGGGUCUCCAUGAAAUUUCCAUGAAGAAGUCUCUAUUAAUCCCUAUUAUAUUACCAGGUCCCACGACUAAUUUUCUCCAAGUCUCUGUAAGCAUUUGUCUUCAAAUCCUAGUUAGCAUUAUCUCUAUGUGCAUAUGACCACUAUCAUAAGGUCCAUGUGAUCAAUUGUCUUCAAGUUCCUAAAAGCAAUUGUCUUUAAGUACCCGUGACCAACUUUCUCUAGGUCCAUAUGACUACUGUCUCUAAGAAGAUCAUGGAUCUUUCUCCAUUACAUUGACAUUUUUGUGUAAACAUACAUUGUAAGUAUUUCCUCUUCCUCUCAAGUUGGUUAAAGUCUUUCAAACAUAUACAUUUACAAUACUUUACGGGAGAAAUGAUAAUAAAAAAGGUAUGUAGAAGCUCAGUUAAGACGCCUAACCAAGCCACACCUUAAACUUGGUUAGGCCACAAUCCAACCAAGUUAUUUUGGCUCGUUUGGGCCACGACCCAAUCGAGCUACUCUCCUCUCUCUCUCUCUCUCACCUCUCAUUUCUCUUCUAAUAUGCCUAUGAUUUUACUCUUGUAUAAGGAGGUGUACUUUAACUUUAAAGAACUUGAUUCUUGUGUUCCUAGUGGUUAUGUUUCUUUUUUACAACAAUUUGAUGUAUUUCUUGAUGAAAUUCUAAGUGGAUUGUCACCUAUAAAAGGAAUAGAACAUUAGAUUGACCUACUACUAGGUUGAGCUAUUCCUAAUGGACCAACGUAUUAUAGUAAUCCUACGAAAACAAAAGAGUUUUGAAGGAAAGUGGAGGAGUUAAUGUCAAAGGUGUACAUUCGAGAGAGCAUGAGUCCAUGUGUUGUUCUUGUACUUUCAGUACCUAAGAAAGAUGGCAUUUUGAUGGCAUUUUGAGAAUGUGUGUUGAUUGUAGAGCAAUCAAUAUUAUAAUAGGAAAUUAUAGACAUCUUAUCCCUUGAUUAGAUGAUAUGCUUGAUGAAUUACAUGGAUUUUAUAUGUUUUCCAAAAUGAAUCUUUAAAGUGGAUAUCCUCAAAUUAGAAUGAAAAAAAGUGAUAAAUAAAAAUUGAUUUUCAAACUAAAUAUGGUUUGUAUGAGUGGUUAGUCAUGCCUUUUAGACUUACUAAUACACCUAGUACUUUUAUGAUAUUGAUGAACCUUAUAUCAUGUGCAUUCUUUGGUGGGUUCAUAAUUGUUUAUUUUGAUGAUAUAUUGAUUUAUUGUAAAGUAUUGAUGAACAUAUAGAUCAUUUAUGACAGAUCUAAAAAGUAUGACUUUUGCAUGGAAAAGAUUGUUUUUAUUGGAUAUGUUGUUAGUACAAAGGUAUCGAGAUGGAAAGUGUUAAGCAUAAGGCUAUAAAAGAGUAGCCUACACCUAAGAUGGUAAGUGAGUUUUCAUAGAUUGACUAAUUUCUAUAGAAGAUAUAUGAAAGAUUUUAGUACAAUAGUUGCUCAAUUAACUGAAAUCAUAAAGAAAACAUUAGGUUUUAAAUGGGAAAUUGAAUAAGAGAGCUUUUAAUUUGUUAAUAGAAAAGCUUGUUUUGCUUUCAUUAUGUGUUUUGCCCAACUUUACAAAAACUUUUAAGAUUAAAUGUGAUACUUCAUGAAUAUGUAUUAGAGCUAUUAUAAUGAAGGAUAAAUGGCUCAUAAUCUAUUUCAGUAAAAAGCUUAAUGAUACAACUUUAAACUACUCAACAUAUGAUAAAAGGUUGUAUACUAGUAAAGACUUUGGAGACUGGACAACAUUACCUUUAGUCUAAAAGGUUCGUGAUUCAUACCGAUCAUUAAUUUUUACGACACUUGAAAAGUUAAGGUAAGUUGAAUCGUAAACAUACCAAAUAAAUGGAAUUUAUUGAUUUAUUUCCAUAAGCCAUCAAAUACAAGCAAGAUAACGAAAAUAUAGUUACAAAAGUAUCGUCAUGAAGGUAUGUUCUUCUUAAUAGUUUGAAUGCUAGACUUUUAAAAUUUGAGUAUAUGAAAUAAUUAUAUCAUGAUGAUGUUGACAUCAAUAAAAUUUAUUUUCAAUGUAAACUUGUGGCAACUAAAAAAAGAUAUGUUCAAUUUUAUUAUUAGUCAUACUUAAUCUAUAUUCUUUUAAUUAAUAUUUAUUUUAUUUGAAAUAAUUUUUUAAAUAAUUUUUUAAUUUCAUCACCUUUAUCUAUCAAUUUGAAUUUACAUUCUUUCAAUAACCUUGAAAAAGUAUUAACAAAUAAAAAGGUUAUUCUUUAUUUAUCUUUUUUUUUUACCAGGUCAAUGAACAGUGAAGAAUGGUUCCAAUUUGUUUUUCAUAACACCAUCAAGAAUUAAAGAAUAAUUCCCUUUCAAGAAAUCCUAAUUUGAACGAAGAGCAUUUUCCAUUAAAGAAAUAAACGUACCUGAAAAGAAAUCAGCUUCCACACAACGGAAACAAAUUUCUAUACAGACGGCUACCACUGGGCAAUUAAGGCAGAUUGCAAUAUGAUAGAAGAAAAGGUGGCAGAUUGAUAAAAGCUUCUCUCAUUUCUAAUAGCAAAGGUCACUAACGACAAACACAUGGAUGGACUCUGGGUAUUUUCGCUUACCAAAACACCCAUGCCCAGACCUCUUAAGAUUCUACACCAUACACAUAAUAAACAUGCAAUUGCUGCUCUUUCUCCCCAUUCAAACCUCCCCCCGCGGCUUAAUAAAGCAGAGCCAAAACAGACACCCACAGCCCAAGCCCCAAACCAAGCCCCCCAAAUCCAAUCCUUCUUGCCCCUGAAAACCAUACCCGAACAUCGUCCACCACUGGCCCACACAACGAGCUCAUAUCAUCACUCCUGGUAUUGUAGUACACGCUAUAAAAUGCAAUACGGGUCCUGUCGGCCUUGGCUGUGAAGUUGAGGUUAGCAACCUGGAAGGUGGAGUUGGAGUCGGGUGUGUAAUGGAUAUUUUGGGCCUGAUCACCGGCGAAGGCCAUGACUGCAAGUGGCUGCUUGCAUUUGUCCCCGGCAUGGCCCAAGGCAAACGACAUCGUGUAAGGCUUGCUGGGUGUUGUUUCAACCAUCUGUGAGAUUAUGCCUUCCUUGCCUGAGAGCAAUUCAAUGGCACGCUUGCCUUGUGGAACGGAGUAAUGAUAAGAGUCUAUGUAGCGGACAGCCCUGUAUGAUUCGAUAAUCCAACCGGGCAACGACGACGUUUCCUCAUCCAGUUUGGUUGGGAGCAGGACUCCGAGUGAAACGUUAUUAAACAUCCAGGGGCCUUCCUCAUAAUCACCAUUAAUUACUGCAUUGUCUGAGGAGAGAGAACAAACAACAAUCCCUUAAUUAUCAAUCAAGGCAUCUAACAUUAUAAUUGCCUAGGUUAACGUGCCUUGUAAUAAUCGCAUGUAAAUUCAAUUUGACAAAAAGAGGGAGAACCCAAGCAAGAAAUAAAAAGGCGCAAGACCCCACACAUCGGAUGCUCAUGAUCUAAAUCAAAACGUCAAAAAGCAUCAGCUAAACGCUGCCCCCACGUACUACUAUAUAUAGAGGUAGGUGCAGGAAAGGGUGGGUGUCUAUGGAAAUUCAAAAGAGCGGGCAAAAGCAAGAUUGUACCUUUGGGUCGCUCAGGAGUGAAAAGCUUUUUGAUCGCAAUAUCAUCGAUAAUAGGCCCACAAGUAGGGUCAUCUUCCAUGCCGGGAUUCGAGAAAACCAGCCUCACUUUAUCCUCCUGUGCCUCAAAAGCCAACGCGUAUGGGUCCCACCCUUGCACAUUAUACAAUGUCUGCAGGUCUAUGGUCUGUGAUGCAGGUAGCACUGACACGUUUAGAGAUUCCAGCUGCGCGCACGUGCGAGCCGCACUGAACGUGACCGAGUAUACAGAUCCCUUCUCGACCGUCAAUUCCUGGCUGAUAUCAGCGUCGUUCCCCAAUCUUACUGCGUGUGCACCUCGUGGUACAAUGAGGAUCAUCGCACCUUGUUUCUGUCCGGAGGAUACCAGCUCUACGGUGCCGUUUGUUUUCCACCCUGGAAUUUCGGUGGGCCCUUCAACCAGGGCCUCGUCUUUGGGGAAGCCAGUGAUUGGUGGCGUUUCAAAAUCACCGUUUGUCACCAACCCUGAAAUAAUAACAUAACAUUUACAUAUCGAAACAGCAUCAAAUUAACUUCCUUCAUUUUUCAACGAAAUUAUUAAUUAAUUUUGUGCUUUUUACUUCUACUACAAGGUACGAAUAGCAACGGCGACAAAGCAUGGGGAGUCUGAUGUAAAAGCAUGGGAUUAUGGGUCCACGAAAUUAUUGGUCUAUAAAUAUAAUAAACAGUGGUAGGGCAAAGCGCGGAUACAUUUCAAGGUCUGGUAAAGCGUUUUUCUAUGGUCAAGAUACAGUCAACUCUUGGCCCACGAUACAGAAGGACGUGACAAAUCACAGGGUCCAACAGUGAAGAUGCCGCACCAACUGUCUUACCAAACAGCAAGCACAGUAGUUAGAAGGAUAUAAUAUCAGGAGGAUUUGUUUUUUUCUCUUUGAGCAAUAAGGAAACAGCUCCUGUCAAGAUAUGCCCUAAUCUCUGCCAGAUAUUAUUGAGAGAACAAAAAACAUCCACAUGCCUCCUUUUUUUUUUUUUUUUUUUGGGAACUGAUGUCGAAGCAGCGAAUAAUGCUCUCCGAAUUGAAGCAUUCAGACCCUGUGAUAUCAUGUACGUAAAACCAGUGACGAAACAACGAUUUUAGGAAUAUGGACACAAUAUGAUAUUGUUUGAAUACAUUUUAAAAAAUAUUUAUAGAAUAACAAGAGAUUUUGAGGGUACACAGUGCAUGAUGGAUACUCUAAUCUUAUCGGGAGGAGCCUCAGAAAUGAAAAGCGGAAAACUCAUGGCCGGAUAAAACAAGGAGAAAUUUAUUUUCGUUUUUCGGCCUUUUGUUUUUGGAAUCUCAAUACGCCGACAAAGUAAUGAUGGGAUGUGAACGCUUAUAACACCACAUUGAAUCAGAUGCCGCGUGCAGCUCAUGGACCCUACUACACCGUUUUGGCCCAUCUUUGGUUUUGUUUUUCUACCCACCCUUCCAGCUCCCCUAGACCCUCCUAGUCUCGAGUCUCGACUACCUAAGUUUCCCCCCAUGUUUACUCUCUCCCACUUUUUUCAAGGUUAGUGAUUUUACCGGCGCUGGAAAAUCAAAAAGACUGUAAAUAAAAUAAAAUAGCUAUAGCCCCAGCGUGCUCUACGGAAAGAACCCUUGUCGCUUUGCUAACUCAUGCCAGCAUGGCCAUGAACUAAUUUUUGGCGGCAGAAUGUUCCACUCUGGUAAUUUUACCCAUCCAUCCUACAUGACGAGGAGAGAACGGGCGGCAUGUAUAUAAACAACAAUAAUAUUAGUAUCUGGGAGCUUCCCAUGUCUAGAAAUUGGGUGAUUUUACCCCCCCCCCCCAUAAUGGAGAAAGGGAGGGAAAGAAAAAGGGUUAGUGCAUCCAUAUUGGAUAUACCAUGGGGGAAAAAUGCCAAGUGACCAAAACACAUUCAAGACCUUAAUAUAUAAGCUACUUUUCAACGGUCUAUUAACCUCUAUUUUAUUUAUAAAAAAAAUGCAAUUCAUUCCCUUAAAUAUUCUUCUGUGUGUUCAAACUGAAGUUCAGAAUCAUUACUUUGCAAGAUAUGAUCUAUAAGUUUAUUGGUCAGUUUUCUGGUAAUCUCUAUUCCAAUUAUGUCUAUAUAAUUAGCUCCAUGAACUUCCUAGCAUAUCUCCAGAGUGCCACAAAAAUGAGCCGGCAACCUUAUAACAUCAAAACUUAAAAUAUCAUGUCAUGGAGACUCAAAAUGUUUCCAUGACUAUUAUACUUUCAAAUGACGGGGCUAUUAUCCCCUGGAAAAAAAAAUCUCACAAGACACUUAUAAACCUUUUCUGUAAAUAACUUGGUUUAGCAACUGUAACUCAUCUACUCCAUCGUCUCGCAUAUAAAAAUGGUUUCAGCAAUCGUCCAUGAAAAUGUAUAACAAGCCCAUGGAAGGAACAAGGUAACUGCUAGAAACUACUUCUUUGUAUAGCAUUGCACAAGCAUGAACAAGAAAACUCUUAAUCCUUCAAACAUAAGGCGUAAUUGCUGAAAAUCCAAGCAUCCCACAACUAGAAUUAUGUUUUAAGUCGACAAGACACCCAUUGAAUUAUGUAGGGUAAAUGUAAACCAGAUCUCAAAAAUAGCAAUAACCCAUAAAGCAUAUAUACAUAUCUACCAAACAAGAAGCAUCUACUAAACUACUUAUAAUGGAGUAAGAAAAAGGUAUGCACUUGUUAUUUAGGUUUGAAAGAGAAAGGAGGAGUAAGAAAUGGAAAGGAAACAAGAAAGAAAACACUUACCAUCUUCUCCAAGUAUUGCAGAAGCAAAAAGAGCAAAGACGAGCAUAAACAAAGUGAACCAUUUGCUUCUUGUUGAGCUUUGAAACAUCUUCUUGGCUAAGUAUUCUCUCUCUCAAUCCCACUUUCAGUGUAUAUGAGUGUGUUUGCGCGUUUGCUCUGUUUUGCAGAAGGACAGAGGCAGAGAGGGUGUCUUUAUAUAUAUCCAAGAUUCCAGCUUUAUCGUCUUUACUCUUUGCUCUCUCUCUCUUUAUAAUUUAUUUUUAUUUUUAUUUUUAUUGCCUUUAGCUCGAGUAUCGAUUAUUUGACAAAAAGGGUCCUUUCAUACUUGAAGAUUGUUAAUUUUAACAACAGUCCGUGUUUUAAGAAUCGUGGUCCGCCGUAAGACUGUACUUCGACGGUGUUUAAUGCCUCGUGACUUAAUUUAUUGGUAAGUAAAAUAAAAAGAAAUUCGAUGUCCGUUUUCUAUUGGACCCCCCCUUUCCUCUUCGAGGAUUAGCCAUUGUUUUAUUUGCUCUUUGUUUUUGAAAAAAUAUUAGGAAGAAAUUGUACAGAUUAAUAUAUUCUUAGCGACCAAUAAGUAAAGUAUGUGUGAUCUUUUUUUUACAAUUUAUUGGACUUGGACCGAUACCUUUGAGAACUCAUUAAAUUAUUUAGAAUGCAACAAUUUAAUAUAAAUGAUACUUUAUUAUAAAGAAAUUAAUAUCGAUUGAAUGAUUUAAAAAUAUUCAUUACCGUAAAAAUAACAGAAAUUACUAUUUCUAACCAUAUAUAAAUACUAUAUAGUACAUUCCAAUCCCAAUUGUAAUGUGGAGAGGAUGCUUUCUCCCGACAACAAUCUUAUCAUUAAAUUUGAUCGAGGCACAUACACUCAUAUGCAUUCCCUUAUUCCAGGGGCACUGCUUUAAAAAGUUGGUGCAAAAUGCAAAUUUAUUGAAAGGCAUCCCUAAAAAUCUAUUAUUUGCAAAUAGAUAUUAAAUGCCAUUACCUCAAAAUAUCCCACUCCCUUAAAAAUUCUUUAUUUAUUUAUUUAUUAUUUCUGAUGAGCCCUAGCACUUGGCAGAGGAUGAUAACCCAAAGACAAUAAAAAAAGAAACAAAAAAAGAAACGAGGGGAGAUAGAAGACGAUGCUUAUAUUUCUAAUUCAGUAGCAAAUGUUCCUCCCUGCGACUUCCUCAGAUCACAACAGUACAUCAACCCACACUAAUAAUCCAGCAUAUGUCAUGUGACUGCGGCAAGGUAACUUUGUAUGUAUGUUUUUCUUAUAAAUAUAUUAAAAUAAUAUUUUUUUUAUUAUUUUUAAUAUUAAUAAAUCAAAAUGAUCAGAAAAUAUUAAAAAAUUAAUUUAAACAAAAAAAAAACAACUAAAUUUUGGUCUAUCUUCGUUUGGAUUGCACUUCCAAAUAAGAAUCAAGAAUAGAAAAAAGAUUGUCGAUUUUAUAUUGUCUAAAUGGGUGAACAUAUUAAACACUGGACAAGUUGUUACAUCUACGCUACUACCGACAGACAUGAAGGUGAGUAAUAUUUCGUUUCCAAAUCUAAUCCACAAGAAGUGAUUUUGUGGCUCUUGAGAUAAGUUAUUCACUUAUUGACAUUCUCUAUUUUUCUUAUGUUUCUCUUGCUAUUUCGAUAUAAAAUUUUCAAAAAAAAAAACUUUGAUUUUUAGACCAAAUUUUAAUUUUAUAUGUUUUGGAUUCUUUUAUGUCUGUUUUAAUUAAGACAACUUUGAAUUUUAAAGUUAGAUGUUAAAUUUAAUGUUGAUGAUUUGAACUUCAAACACUAUUCUUACAACUCCAGACUUAUAGUUCCAGACUUAUAAUAAUGUAUUAAAACUUUUAUGAUCUUUUAAUAUGCAAAAAGCAAAAUAAAACUUGCGAAAUAAUUAAAUAAUCUAAAUGUAAAAGAUAACUUAACAUCUUAGGAUUAAGGAACUUACAUUCAUUUGAUGAUUCUUUAAUUGAUUACAAGGUACACUGGAAUUCCUUAACAAGAAAAACAUUAUAUAUAUAUAUAUAUAUUGGUAUAUCUAGUUUUUUGGUAAUGGAGACUACAAGCCGACUAUUAUAAGCCUAUUGAUUAUCGUUUACAAACUAUCACCCUACAAGCUAUUUACCUACAAGUUAUAUGCAUCUUGAUUGUUGCCUAUGAGAUUACAAGUCUACUGGUAAACAAGUUUUGAAGAUCAUGAGAACUUGAUUCAAUUGCGUAGCAACUGUUGUUGUUGAUUAAUUGAGUUGUUGUUGUUGUUUCUUCCUGCAACUUUGGUUUACAUAGAUAACCUCAUGUUAACCACCCCCUCUGUCCAUUACUCCUCACCUUCAGGAUGCACAAUUGAAAUUAUCCAUCUCUAUUAUCUCAUAUGUUUUAGUCAGUUUAUUUUACAAGUUUGGAUUACAUUUUUUUCAUAGUUUAUCUUUUCUUUCUUCUAAUCCAAACUUCAUAACUUUUAUAUAUAAUAUUCACAUGCUUCAACCUAUAACCAAGUCUUGUAUUUUAUUUAGGCCCAAACAUAUUUUAAUAUGGCAACACCUAUUAAGUCUAGCCCACUAUUUUAUCUUUCUUAGCUUUUGACUUAAAUUACUUCUUUUACUAAUUUAUUGUGUAACACUUAGUCCCUCUUAAACAACUCAUUAAUAACUUAUUUUUCUUCUCAAAAUAUAAAUUAAUAGGAAGUGAAAUCAAUUCAUUACUAGUUAAUCUUCCCAAGAUAAUUUCAAAUUUCAAGCUAUACCCACCAAUUUUACAUGAUAAUUUGAAUUUUUAAACCUUUCAUCUUUUACUCUACUAAAAGUCUCUUACCCCCCCCCCUUUUUGUCUCCAACUAUUUACAUAGUCUAUGGGUGGAAGGAAGUACUUACAUCUAAUCUCGUUCUUAGAGCAUGUUGUAUGCUUGCCCAGAGACGAGAGGUGAACCUAGGAUCCUAAUCUGAGACAGUGGAUGUUGGAAUCCCAUGAAGUUGUAUAACUUCAUUCACAUAAAUUAUGGCUAAUUUGUCCACCGAAUAUGUAAUUUUUACUACUAGAAAUAAAGUAGAUUUAGUUAAGCGAUCUAUAAUAACUCAUAUUACAUCAUUCCUUUUUUCCCCUCUAGGUAGGCCUGACACGAAAUACAUGGUGAUCAUCUCCCACUUCCAUUCAGGAAUUAGCAAGGGUUGCAAUGGCCCUAUUGGCUUCUGGUGCUCCACUUUAACUUGUUGGAAAAUACCACACUUCACCACAUAAUUAGCUACUUCCUUUUUUAUGUCGGUCCCUUAAUAGUAUUAUUUCUUAUCCUAGUACAUUUUAGUACUACUGAGAUGUAUUGUGAAUUUAAACUCGGGUGCCUCUUGCAAGAUCUUCUAGUUAAUAAUUUUAUUUUUAGGCAUAUACAUAUGUCGUCCUAAUAUUAACACUCCAUCAUUUGCAAUCCGAAAAGGGGUUUCAAUUUUGGUAUUUACUCUAUUUCUCACUUUUGACACUUUAUCAUCUCCUUGUUGUGCUUGUAAUAUUUGUUCUCGAUACAUCGGUUGUACUUUUAGUUGUGCUACUAAUAUUUCUUCUAAACUCAUGCUCAACAGGGCCCCCAAUCUUCAUAGCUUUGUUGGUGUUCGUUCAUCCCAUACUGGUGGUUUACUUAGAGUCACUUUGUUUUUGUAACUAAGAACGUUGGCUACCAUAUUCACCUUUUCAGGAUGGUAUUCUAUAGUAUAAUCAUUGUCUUUGAUGAGUUCUAUCCAUAUUCUCUGUCACAUAUUUAAUUCUUUUUAUGACAUUAGAUAUUUCAAAUUUUUAUGAUAUGUGAAGAUUUGGACUCAGAAUCCAUAGAGAUAGUGUCUUCAUGCUCACAAGGCAAAUACCACAACUGCUAGUUCUAAAUCAUGUACUAGGUAAAUGACCUCAUGAGUCUUUAAUUGUCUCAAUUCAUAAGCAAUUACCUUUUUGUGUUGCAUCAAAACACACUCAAGCCCCUUCCUUGAGACAUCAUUAUAAACCAUAAAACCUUCGGUUCCUGAUGGAAGUGUCAGCACAGAAGUAGUAGUAAGUCUCUUUUUUAGUUUUUGGAAGCUUCCUUCACACUCCUUUGACCAUUCUUAUUUUAUAUCCUUCCUCAUUAAGUGUGUCAAAAGGGUUCAAUGAAAACCUUUUAAUGAAUAUUUUAUAAUACCAAAAAAGUUUUAGAAAGAUAUAAAUUUUAGUUAUUGUAGUUGGCCUUUUCCAUUUUAGGACUGCUUCAACUUUCUAAAGAUCCACAAAAAUGCCUUUAGAAGAAAUGACAUGUCCUAGAAAUGUUAAUUUUUCCAUCCAGAAAUCACGUUUUUUCAAUUUAGCAUAUAGUUAAUGACUCCUCAAAGUCUGCAGUACCUAUCUCAAUUGUCAUUCAUGCUCUUUAAAGGAAUUAGAAUAUACUAAAAUGUCGUUUAUAAAUACCAAAACAAAUUUAUCUAGGUAAGGCUGGAAAACUCGGUUUAUCAAAUCCAUAAAAAGUGCCAGAUCAUUUGUCAACCCAAAUGGUAACACUAAAAAUUUAUAGUGUCUGUAUCGAGUUCCAAAAGCAGUCUUUGGUACAUCUUGCUUUUUAAUCUUCAUAUUGUAAUACCUUGAUCUUAAACCGAUCUUCAAAAACACCCUGACUCCUUUUAAUUGGUCAAAUAAGUCAUCUAUUUAUGGUAGCAGAUACUUAUUCUUCAUUGUUACUUUAUUUAACUGACGAUAAUCUAUACAAAACCUGUGGGUGCCAUCCUUUUUUUUCACAAAUAAUAUAGGUGCUCCCUAAGGCGUUUCACUAGGUCGUAUAAACCUCUUAUCUAGUAAUUCUUGUAGCUAGAUUUUUAAUUCAUCCAAUUCUACCAAAGCCAUUAUAUAUAGUGGUUGUGCUAUCAGGGGAACUUUUGGGAAGGUAUUGAUAGAAACUUUGACCUCCUGUUCGAGGAUAACUAAGGUGGUUCUUCUGGUAAUACAUCAAAAAAUUCCUUUACAAUUGAAAUAUCAACUAACUUUAUUUCAUUUUUGUCAAAAUUUAACAUAUAAGAAAGGUAUCAUGUACAUCCCUUCCUCAACAACUUCUUAGCAGUCAUAACUGAAAUCAUAUUGGUUAAGAUAAUAGUUCCUUUUCCUUUAAAGGUUAUUCUUUUACCCUCUAACCCUUGAACAAUUACAAUCUUUGCAAAGCAAUCUAUCUAAGCUUUGUGUUUACUUAGCCAAUCUAUGCCUAGAAUUAUAUUAAAGUCAUUAAAUUCUAAAGGUAUCAAAUCUACCUCUAACUCAUACCUAUUGAGGCUAAGUUUUACACUCACAUACACAAUAUUUGUUUCUACAACAUCACCUAAAGGUGUUCCAAUUAUAAACCCCUUUUCCACCUUUUUUAUUUCUUUUCCCAUAUUGGAUACAACUCUAGUAGAUAUAAAUAAGUGAGUGGCACCCAGAUCAAACAAAGCAUGUAUCUUUAAAUUAUUCAUUUAUAGCAUACAUGUCACUCCAUCAGAUGUUGCUCUAAUGCCUUCCUAUGUCAUACGUGUCCUCAGCUGUCCUCGAUUAGGAUUUGCCCCUGACUAUGUUGAUUUUGUUGGCCUGUUCACUAUGAUGGAUUGCUGGUAACUCUAACUUGGUUGCUUCACAUUUUGUAUUUGUCCAGAGAUUUUAUGAGGGCACUCUUUUUUGAAGUGUUCUUUUCAGGUUAUAAUCAGAUUAGAAUGGCAAAAAAAGAUAAAGAGAAAACCAUCUUUUUCAUGUCGUGGGGAACCUUUUGUUAUAAAAUGAUGUCAUUCGAUAUAAGAAAUGUUAGUGCCAUGUAUCAAAGAGAAAUUGUCACUUUGUUCCACUAUAUGAUGCACCGAGAAGUGGAAGUCUACGUAGAUGAUAUGCUUGCCAUAUCAAAGAAAGAAGAAAAUUACGAGCAUGUAUUGAGGAAAUUGUUUAAGAGGCAAUGAAGACACCAAUUAAGAUAGAAUUCUGCAAAAUGCUUGUUCGGGGUUAGAGCUGGAAAGCUGUUGGGUUUUGUAGUAAGCAGCCGAGAAAUAGAAGCUGAUAUAGAUAAAGCAAAAGCUAUCUAGGAUAUAACGACGCCUAAAAUAGAGAAAGAAGUAACAUGCAAGCCAAUUUUCUAUUUACUCAGAAAGAAAAAUGCAGGGUAUGGAACAAUGAUUGCCAGAAAGCCUUUGAUAAGAUAAUAAGGUAUUUUGCAAAACCCGUCAUUGAUAAUGCCUACUACACUAGAAAGACCCUUGAUCCUAUAUUUGACAAUGAUAGAAACAACCAUGGAUGCAUGUUGGGAUAGUGCGAUGAGUCAGGGAAGAAAGAACUAGUUAUCUCCUACUUAAGAAAAAGUUCAAUGACUGUAAAUCCCGGUAUAUAAUAAUUGAAAGGCCAUAAUGUGUCUUGGUGUGAAGUGCAAAAAAGCUAUAGUAGUAUAUGCUAUACUACACAACCUAGUUGAUCUAAAACUAGAUCCACUCAAGUACAUUUGUGAAAAGCCUUACUUGUCAAGUAGGAUAACAAUGUAGCAAGUGUUGACAGAUAUGACAUUGUUUUUAUGACAAGAAAGGUUGUAAAGGGAGUGCAAUUACCAACCAUCUAGCAGAUCAUGCUGUAGAAGAUUACGAGCCAUUAAAUUUUGACCUUCCUGAUGAGGAUGUACUAAUAGUUGAGGAUACCAAUGAGAUGAAUGAUAAGUGGACCUUGUAUUUUGAUAGAGCAGUGAAUGUAUCAGGAAAUAGGGUUGGAGCAAUGAUAAUUUCCUCAUAAAAGAAGUAAUACCCUAUUUCGGUAAGGUUGUAAUUUGAAUGUGAAUGUAUAAGGAAAUAGGUUGGAGCAGUGAUAAUUUCCUCAUAAAAGAAGUAAUACCCUAUUUCGGUAAGGUUGCAAUUUGAAUGUAUGAAUAAUAUGACCAAGUAUGAAGCUUGUAUCAUCAAUCUGGAAGUUUCUUUAGAGCUUAAAGUUAGGAAGCUUAAGGUUUGUGGGAUUCCCUGCUAAUCAUCUUCCAGGUAAAAGCGAAGUGGCAAACCAAUGACGAGAAGUUGGAUCCAUAUAAGAAUUAUCUCUUGAGAUUAGCUAAUAAAUUUGAAAAAAUAAAAUUCACUCAUAUGAGCAGAGAUAAGAAUCAAUUUGCUGAUGCCUUGACCACCCUAACUUUGAUGACAAAUGUUAUUGGAAGCAGGAUCUAACCAAUAAACAUUAAAGUCAUAAAUCUCCAAGCUCAUUGUUGCACAAUUGAAUAAUCACAAGACAAUAAAUGAUGGUACAAUAACAUCAAGAGGUUUAUCCAACAUCGGAAAUACCCUCAGGAGGCUUCCAAGAUAGAUGAAAAGACUUUGAGGAGAAUGACCAUGGAUUUUUACUUGGAUGGCGAAAUCCUAUAUAAAAGGUCAUUUGACGAAACUCUACUAAGGUGUCUGAAUGAGAAAGAGGUUGAGCAAGCAUUAAAAAAAAUCCACGAGGGAAUUUGUGCCACUUAUGCCAAUAUAUAUACACAAUGACAAGGAAAAUGCAAAGAUCUGGAUACUUCUAGUUGACCAUCAAAAGGGAUUAUGUAGACUAUGUAAGAUAAUACCAUAAAUGUCAGAUAUAUGGUAAUAAGAUAAAUCCACCUCUGGCAUCGCUAUUCAAUAUGACCUCACCUUGACCUUUUGAUAUGUAAGGGUUGGAUGUCACAAAACCAAUCAAUUUAAAGGCUAGCAAUGGGCAUAGGUUUAUUUUGAUGGCCAUCAACUACUUUACUAAAUGGGUAAGGCCAACUCUUAUGCACAUGUGACACGAAAAGUAGUUAAGAGGUUCAUUAAGAAAUAUCUGAUUUGUCUUUAUAGCUUACCAACAAUAUUGAUAACCAAUAAUGCUCAGAUUUUCAAUGGGAAGCUGAUUACUAAGCUUUGAACUAAGUGGAAGAUUAAACACCUCAAUUCUUCUCCUUACAAACCGAAAAUGAAUGGAGCUGUCAAGGCAGCUAACAAGAAUAUAAAAAAGAUAAUCCAAAAGAUGGUGGUCACCUAAAGGAUUGGAAUGAGAUGUUUCUGUAUGCACUUCACGCAUACCGCACCACAACUAGAACUUCUACGGGUGCAACCUCUUAUUCAUUGGUAUAUAGGAUGGAAGCAGAGAUUCCAUUAUUAAAGGGUGCAGAACUGGACGAAUCAGAAUGGGAAAAGUUGAGAUUUAAGUAGUUAAAUUUGAUCAAUGAAAAGAAAUUGACAACUAUUUUUCACCACCAGUUAUACCAAAGUAGAAUGACUAAGGCAUAUAACAAGAAGGUCAAGUCAAGAGUGUUUAAAGAAGAAGACCUGUUUUAUUUUGUUAGCUACAACCCAAGGCUUGUUUGGGCUUAAUUAAUACUUUGUUUUCAGUUAGGAUCCAAGGCUUGUUUGGAUUAAGUUAUGGGCUUUUCAGUUUAGGGUUUUGGGUUAGCUUUGAGUGGACCUCAUUUAAGUCUACAUAAGGGGUCCAUUAGGGUUAACUUUUCAAGAACUAUUUAAACUCAUGUAAGCCAAAAUUUCGGCAUCUUUGAUGAUAAUUACUUCUGAAUUUUUCAGUUUUAACGUGUGAGAGUGAUUCUUGCAUUCUUCAGUUCUUGAACGAACUGAAUCUGACUUAUUGAAGAUUAACUGGCUUCGUGGCGUCAUUCUACUCAAUCCAAUAGUGUUGGUGCCUUGGGGCAGGUUUUCAUUGUGUCACACUCCUAUCAGACCUAUUUCAGCUUUCUGGGAUUAGAUCUCAAUCUUGAUUGUGGGUUGUGUGACCACGUGAUCACGAGGUUCGUAUUAGUUGGUAUCAGAGCUAGGCUCCGAAACAAGGUCAUAUCCUUCUGUUAUUUUCAUUUUUUUUAGUGUUCCUUUAAGUUUUUUUGUGUUUGCGUCCAUCUUCUUGUUCUUCGUGUCUACAUCAUCUAAGAAAAAAAAAAGGGUUAUAUUUCAUCUUGUUACUGUCUCUAAUCAUAUCAGUAUAUUAAAAAGAAAGAGAGAUAUGGAUUAGUUGAAAUUUGAAGGAUCAUUCAAUUUUUGCCGUAGAAACACAACUCUUGGUGACCCAUAAGCAAACCACCUUGGAAUCAAUUGAAACUUCAUAUUCAGUCUAUUGGGGGUGAGAUCGCAUCAUAUGUCAAAUUUAGGCUUAUUAUGAUAUUGUUUGCUUGAGGUUUUAAUUCGAGGCUCAAUUCUGCUGUAAAAACACUACUCUUUGUGAACCAUAAGCAAACCACCUCAGAAUCAAUUGAAACUUAAUAUUCAAUCUAAUUGGGGUGAGAUCAUCAUAUGUCAAAUUUGGGCUUAUUCUGAUAUUGUUUGCUUGAGGUUUUAAUUCAAGGCUCAAUUCUGCCGCAGAAACACUACUCUUUGUGAACCAUAAGCAAAACACCUUAGAAUAAAUUGAAACUUCAUAUUUUGUGUCUAGGGGAUGAGAUCGCACGAUAUAUUAAAUUUGAGCUUAUUUUGAUAUCGGCUUCUGGAGGUUUUAAUUGGGGGUUCAAUUCUGCCGCAAACUGAUCAUACAAGGGAUUUGGGUACCUAGACAUAAAAUAACGACAUAUAAAUUUAUUUUUGUUGUUUUUUUAGUAUUAUAAUACUAAAUAUUGAAUUUGAGGUUAUUUCGAGAUCGUUUGGUCUGGGUUUCAAUUCUGUUACGUAAAAAUUGCGUAAUAGGUUAGAUUUGCGUCAAGUUUCAAAACGUGAUCCUUACUGUUUAGUUUUGUCCAAAUCUUUUUGUUUCUAUUAUAUUUGGGUUAUCUAGGAGUCAAGUAACUGUUUUCGCUAAUAUUCGCUUCUGUUUUAUUUCGUGUCUUCGUUUCGUCCACAAUUCGUACGAAUUUGCAUUGCUGUUCGCAAAAUCAUAAUCGUAGUUUUGUUUUGCUUUGUUUUCAGUAUAUUUAUUGAUUCUUGAGUCUAAAAAUUAUAAUUAGAGUGCACUGCGAAGGCUACUGACUUUGAUUUGUUGAUUUUAGUUCUUAAAGAACCAAAAGAAAGCAAGUUGUGAAAUAAAAGGCGUAGUGAGCUUAUUAGAGUGAAAAGCCUUGAUUUUUUUUGUGUGAUACACAAGAGGUGUGAGGAUAUAUUUUUUGCUACUAACCAAAUUUUGUAGAUUCAAAGAAUGUCUGAAAACAACGAAUCAACUACACAAAACGCUGACAUAGCUUUCCAAUUGCGAGCCAUAGGCCAACAACUUGAGUUGUUGUCUAGAACGUACAAGGAUCUGAAAGAUGAGGUGAAUUCAAUAAAGCAACAGAAUAGUGGGGCUGAUCGCCGAGGAAAUACAGUCCGUAUGGCCGUACGGAAUGUCAGAUCUAAUUUUGAAGAGUUUGUUGACGAAAACACAGAUGCGGGUGAAGAUGACUAUGAUUUUGCAUCUGCUGGCCAAGGAAUCAGGUCUGGACUAAACGGGGCUAAGAGGAAUGUGAAUUUCCGUGGCAUGGGCCCUUAUGAAGUAUGGAUGGGGACUUGGACACCAUUAAACUGAAAAUUCCUAACUUUCAAAGUAAAAAGAUCCCGAGGCUUAUUUGGAGUGGGAGAAAAAGGUAGAUUGGGUUUUUGAUUACCAUAGCUAUUCUGAACAAAAAAAGGUGAAAUUGGUGAUAAAUGAGUUUAUGGAGUAUGCAUUGAUUUGGUGGGAUCAAAUUGUAUUCAGUAGGAGGAGGAAUGAGGAACAACCCGUUCAGACUUGGGGGGAGAUGAAAGUCUUAAUGAGGAGACGAUUUAUGCCAAACCACUAUUACAGAGACUUAUAUCUGAAGCUCCAAGGUCUGAAUUAAGGUUAUAAGACAGUAGAUGAAUAUCACAAAGAGAUGGAGCUAGCAAUGAUUCAGGCCAAUGUUGUUGAGGAUAAAGAAGCCACCAUGACUAGAUUUCUUAAUGGGUUGAAUCGAGACAUUGCCAAUGUGGUUGAGCUAGAGCACUAUGUGGAGCUAGAGGACAUGAUUCACAUGGCUACGAAGGUGGAGAGACAACUUCGGAAGGGACAUGCUCGGCCAGCGUUUAAUUCGGGCUCUUCAUCAUCUUGGAAGCCGAAUCUAAAGAGAGAGGGUACUAUCCAGCCAAGAUCCUUUGUUCCUUCUAGAACUGAACCACCAAAGGCUAAAGUUGAUGUUCCUACUCAUGCCAAAGAUAAAUCUGAAACUCAACCUAAACGUACCCGUGAUGUUAAAUGUUUCAAGUGUCAAGGACAUGGACAUUAUGCUUCAGAGUGUCCAAACAAAAGAAUCAUGAUGAUUAGAGAUAAUGGUGAUAUGAAAUCUGAAAGUGACAGAUCUGAUUGUGAAGGCAUGCCACCAUUGGAGGAUAGUGAUGGGGAUGAGUUAGCAUUACCAGUUGGGGAGUCCUUGGUUAUAAGACGAACACUUCAGGUUCAGGUAAAGGAAGAUGAAAUUAAUCAACAAAGAAAGAACAUCUUCCAUACGCGUUGUUAUGUACAAAGCAAGGUGUGUGGUUUAAUUAUAGAUAGUGGAAGUUGUGUUAAUGUUUGUAGUACCACCCUUGUUAGUAAACUGAAUUUGUGUACUAUUAAGCAUGCUAAACCAUUUAGAUUGCAAUGGCUGAAUGAUAGUGGUGAAGUGAAAGUGACUAAACAGGUUGUGGUUCCAUUUUCGAUUGGGAAAUAUGUUGAUGAAGUUCUGUGCGACGUGGUACCAAUGCAAGCAAGUCACAUCUUGUUGGGGAGACCAUGGCAAUAUGAUAGGAAGACAAUUCAUGAUGGGGUUAAAAAUAGGUAUACCAUUGUAAAAGAUGGUAAAACCAUCACUCUUGUACCUCUUACACCCAAACAGGUGUAUGAUGAUCAAAUAAAGCUAAAAAGUGAGCAUGAGGCGAUGGGGAGAGAAAAUCAAGGUGAGGAACAAGGGGAAAGAAGACCAUCAGAUUCGACUAGAACUCAAACCACUAUAACCCAUUCGGCCACCCAUCCAAACACAAACAAAUAUUUAGCCAACACUCCAAACAAAUCAAACCAUUCGACCACAACUCAAAAACACCCAAAUCUGGCCAAGAGUGGAGGUAAGACAAGAGGAGUGAAGAAAGUCAAUAAAGGUGAUGAGAAUUGUGUGGAAAAACUAAAGAAACAACCCAAUUUUUAUGCUACAGAGGGUGAGGUCAGAUCUGUAUUUUUCACUAACAAGCCAAUGAUUUACUUGUGUACAAAGAGGCUUACUUUAAUACUAAUGAUCUUGAUCAUAUUGUGCCUAGUGUUGCUGUUGCUUUGUUGCAGGAGUUUGAUGAUGUGUUCCCCGACGAUACUCCUAGCGGAUUACCACCAUUGAGGGGGAUAGAGCAUCAGAUUGAUUUCGUACCCGGAGCUUCAAUUCCUAACCGACCAGCCUAUAGAAGCAAUCCCGAGGAGAUGAAGGAGCUUCAAAGGCAAGUUGAUGAGCUGAUGGAAAAGGGCUAGAUUCGUGAGAGUAUGAGCCCGUGUGCUGUACCCGUGCUACUUGUGCCUAAGAAGGAUGGAACAUGGAGGAUGUGUGUUGAUUGCCGAGCCAUCAACAACAUAACGGUAAAGUAUAGACACCCCAUUCCUAGGCUUGAUGACAUGUUAGAUGAGUUACAUGGAUCCUGUAUUUUCUCUAAAAUUGACUUGAAAAGUGGGUACCAUCAAAUUAGAAUGAAAGAAGGUGAUGAGUGGAAAACAACAUUUAAGACUAAACAUGGUUUGUAUGAAUGGUUAGUAAUGCCGUUUGGACUUACAAAUGCACCUAGUAUGUUUAUGCAUUUAAUGAAUCAUGUGUUGUGUGCAUUCAUAGGUAAGUUUGUGGUUGUGUAUUUUAAUGGCAUUCUAAUCUAUAGCAAGAACUUAACUGAGCAUCUUGAUCAUUUGCGUAAUGUACUUAGUGUGUUGCGUAGUAAGAAAUUGUAUGCUAAUCUUAAAAAGUGUGCCUUUUGCAUGGAGAAAAUUGUGUUUUUUGGCUAUGUUGUAACUGCACAGGGUAUCGAGAUGGAUGAGGAGAAAGUUAAGGCCAUCCGGGAUUGGCCUACACCCAAAUCGGUAAGUGAGGUGAGUUUUCAUGGGUUAGCUAGUUUUUAUAGGCGUUUUGUGAAAGAUUUUAGUACAAUAGUUGCACCCUUGAAUGAAGUUGUUAAAAAGUCAGUUGGGUUUAAACAAGGGGAAGAACAAGAAUUGGCUUUUGUUCUUUUAAAAGAUAAAUUAUGUUCUGCACCUGUUUUGGCUUUACCUGACUUUACGAAAGCAUUUGAAAUAGAAUGUGAUGUAUCUGGAAUGAGAAUAUGUGCUGUUUUGAUGCAGGAUCGGAGACCUAAUGCAUAUUUUAGUGAGAAGUCAAAUGGAGCGACCUUGAACUAUCCCACUUAUGACAAAGAACUCUAUGCAUUGAUAAGAGCACUUGAGACAUGACAACAUUACUUAUGGUCAAAAGAGUUCGUAAUCCAUUCGGAUUAUGAGUCCUUGAAACAUCUGAAAGGACAAGGUAAGUUGAAUAGGAGGCAUGCAAAAUGGGUUGAAUUCAUUGAAACUUUUCCUUACGUAAUCAAGUAUAAGCAAGGCAAAGAGAACAUCGUAGCUGAUGCACUUUCACGUAGGUAUGUUCUUUUACACACAAUGAAUACUAGAUUGCUAGGCUUUGAAUAUGUGAAGGAAUUGUAUGAUAAUGAUUCUGACUUUGCCGAGAUUUAUAAUGCAUGUGGACAUUUGGCUUUUGGUAAGUUUUAUUUGAUGUGUUGCUACCCAAUUUUUGACCCAUGUUUUGAUAAAUUUUCAGAAAAAUUCAAAAAUAGCGAAAAACAUUGAAAAUCCAAAAAAAUACAUUUUUAAUACAUUUGCAUCGUUUUUUAGCAUUUUUAGCAUCGUCUCAAAAGAAUUUAAAUUUUCAAAGAUAUUUGGAACGCGUUCAACUUUUCACGCGUCAUUUUUAAAAUCAUUGAUUUCCCGCAUUGAGUCGAUGUUGAUAUUUGCUCGCUUUCAAAAAUACAAAAAAAAAUAAGAAAAAUCAAAAUUUACAAAAAAAGAGGAAAAGAGAAGGAAAGGAAAAGUUGAGGGACUAGUUUGAAAACCUAGCAAAACUUUUCCUAUAAAUACCAUGCUACACUGAAUUUUCAAAGAAAGGGGGGUAAUUUUGAAACAUUAGAGAAAAAACCACAAAAAACCCUAAACCACAAAAAACCCUAAAAACCUAACUCUUUCUGCCUACUCACCCAAGCAGCCGCCGUUCCCCGGGGUCCUUGGCUUUUGCUCUCCCAGAACCAGAGAGCCAAGGACCCCUCGCCAUUUGAAAUCAGCCCUUCUCCCCCUUUGGCCGCUCAUCCUUUGGAAACCAGAGCUCCCCUUCUCCUCUCACGGCCCCCAAAAACAUUUUGUCCUUCUCACAGCCGACCCCAACAGCCCCAUCGCCGGCCUCCCCCGACUAUCCCCUACAGACCCGAACCAGAACCUCCACAUCCACCGACAGUACCACCCCCCGGUUCUCUCUUCGCCCUCACAAAGCAGCCUCCCUUUUCCCUCUCCAUCGCCUUCCCCUUUCAGUUCCUUUUCUCAGCCGACCCAUCGGUUUUCCCAAACCAGAGAGCCUUCACGCUCCCCUUCGACAUCAGCGCCGUCCACAAACCGGCCACCAGCAACAGCCCUUCUCCAGCAUUUCUUUCCCACAGCAGCUGACCACCACACCGACACCCACCGAUCUGUCCAUUCCUCCGCCUCAACACCGCCAGCAACCUCUCACAUUCUCGCAGCAGCUCCAGCGGCCACAGGCUGCAGCAGCAAAGCCAAUUAAAGCCGACGAUCAGACCACUUCGUUCUCCUCCAUCUCCACCGAACCGGACACCAGCAGCUGCACAGCCGUCGACCGAAGCACAUCCACACUGCCGGCCGUUUGAAACAGGGAACAAAGGGGAAACGAAAAGAAACUGAGCUGCGAAGAGAGAUGCAGAUCUGCGGAACAAAAGAGAAAAACACAACUAAAAUCAACUGUUGUUGUGCGUUGUUUCCCUUGUUGCAGGUGUCGGUGACCUUCACCGCCGGAGGAGGAAGACAGGGAAGAAGAAGACGUUCUCGAUCCACUGGUUUUCGGUCUUCAUCGGCGGCGGCGCGUGAACCCACGCGCCUCCAGUGGCGGAGGCGCGUGGAGCAACGCGCCACUACUGUUCAGACGACACCAAGGCUGUGCAGCACUGUUCCCGAGGAUUUCUCUGUGUUUUUUGUUGUAACUUUCAGAUGAUGUGUAUAUUUAGAUAUUAUUGUAUUUGAUUUAUUUUGAAUUUUUGUUAUUUGUUUUACAUGUAAAAAUUGUGUAUGUAAAAAACAAAAAAGAAAAGGAAAGGAAAAGAGAAAGAAAAUAUAGUGAAAGUGUAUAGGUGUGUUUGUAUUUGUUUUAUGGAUGUUUUAUUUUUAUUUAAGAUAAAAUUGUAAAGAUUAAAGAAGAAUUUAAUAUUUUGAUUGGAUCACGGUCAAGAAUUAUUAACUUAUACGUAAGUUGUAUUUCUAAUAUCCGAUGAAAAGACAAUUAUUAAAACUUCUUUAACACAUCAAAGUCACGAAGCAGCUUACCUCAGGUAGGGUGCGUUAGGGGUGCUAAUACCUUCCCUAACCACAACCAGUCCCUUACCCGCGAAUCUCUGAUAAGACCAGUACAUCCGGUUUCCUAGUAGCCCGCAAUUAAUUACUAGGUGGCGACUCCAACGAACCAAUCAAAUCAACAAAAAGAUAAAAUCGCCAGCCGAUGCCGCGCGGAUUUUUUCUGACGUGCGACAUGAUGGAUGGUUAUUUGUUCAAAAAGAAUAGAUUGUGUGUUCAUGCUAGUUCUUUGCGUGAAUUGCUUGUUCGUGAAGUACAUGGGGGUUGUUUAAUGGGUCAUCACUUUGGGGUUGCGAAAACGUUGGAUGUAUUGCAUGAGCAUUUUUAUUGGCCAAAGAUGAAAAGAGAUGUACAACGAAUUUGUGAACAGUGCAUUGCUUGUAGAAAGGCAAAAUCUAGAGUACAACCACAUGGACUAUAUAUACCAUUACCUGUGCCUAUUGAACCUUGGGUAGAUAUCUCUAUGGACUUUAUUUAAGGUUUACCUAGGUCAAAGAAAGGUAGAGACUCUAUUUUUGUUGUGAUUGAUAGGUUUUCUAAAAUGGCGCAUUUCAUUGCAUGCAAUAAAACGGAUGAUGCAUCUCAUAUUGCAGACUUGUUUUUUAGGGAGACUGUACGUUUGCAUGGCAUUCCUAAGAGUAUAGUGUCAGAUCGUGAUGUUAAGUUCCUUAGCUACUUUUGGAAGACCUUAUGGGGAAAGUUGAGAACUAAACUCUUAUUUUCGACAAUAUGUCAUCCUCAAACAGAUGGACAAACUGAGGUAGUGAAUAGAACAUUAUCCCAACUUUUGCGUGCUAUAAUUCAAAAGAAUUUAAAGAGUUGGGAAGAAUGUUUGCCUUUUAUUGAGUUUGCUUAUAAUAGAACUGUGCAUUCGACCACUGGUUUUUUUCCAUUUGAAAUUGUUUAUGGUUUUAAUCCACUGACUCCUAUAGACUUAAUUCCUUUGCCUUUUGAAGAAAAGGUAAGUUUAGAUGGUGAAAAGAAGGCAAAGAUGGUGAGACAACUCCAUGAGGGAGUUCGACUGCAAAUAGAGAAAAAGAACAGACUUUAUGCUUCUAAAGCAAAUAAGGGACGUAAACUGGUUAUUUUCCAACCCGGUGAUUGGGUUUGGGUGCACAUGCGUAAGGAACGAUUUCCUAACCAAAGGAAAUCAAAAUUACAACCUCGUGGUGAUGGUC